rnacentral:lncRNA from 1 species
AAGAAGAGGCUGGCCACCAGCGGCGCCAACUUUGCGCGCGCCUACACCGUCGAGUUCGGCAGCUGCACGUUCCCCUACAACUUCACUGGGUGCCAGGACCUCGCCAAGCAGAAGGUUGUUCACAUAUUCUCAUCACACUCAUAAGAAACUUUUUAUUUUUCGAGAACAAGUUCGCUGAUGUGUGUUUCAUUGAGAGGAGAUCGAUACUCAUAAGAAACCUCACCUGAUCGAUCGAUAAUAAUCUGAAUUAUUGAUUUCUUCGAUCUCAUGUUGUGCCAUAUAGAUAUCAUGUGUGUCGUCCGUGCUUGCUUGUGUUGUUGCAGAAAGUGCCCUUCAUCACCGACGACCUCGAGAUCGAGUGCGAGGGGAAGGAGAAGUUCAAGUGCGGCUCCAACGUUUUCUGGAAGUGGGGUGAAGCAAAAUGAGGAGGCGACCUGGUGGUGUACAUGUACGUGUGUGUGUACCUAGAUGUGCGCCCAAACUGCAGGAAGAAUUUGGAUGUGUAAUUGUGGUCAGUGUAUUUGUGUCAUCUCAUCAUCUGAUUGAUCAUCAUGAACCUCUUGCAUUAAUUGGGGAGAGUGAAUUAUAGUAUUUUGUCCUUGAUCGCCUUCUCGUUUCAUAGGCGCUUAUGAGUUUUCCCUACAAAACACGACAAAAGAAAGAUAUAAUUUUUCUAUUACGAUAAGCCCUGGAACUCGAUUAAUAUGCUGCUCAAAUUUUAUAUAUUUGUUGAGCACUUAACGAUCUCAAAUGACAAAAAUCAGUACUAGGAAUAUGUGGAUCUCAUCAAGGGUUAUAAUUUUGAUAUACAAAGUAUCUUUAUCUGACACCAUGCAAGAAAAAUAUAAUUUUUCUAAUAUAAUAAUUAAUAUGCUUCCCAAACUUAAUACUCCCUCCAGACUUGUAAAAGAAAUCGUUUUGGAUAGCGACACAGUCUUCAAAUCAUAACUUUAACUCCUUAUUUUUAUAAAAAAAUAUUUUGAAAACUAUAUAUUUUAUGAAAGUACAUUUCAAGACAAUUCUAUUUAUAUGACUUUUAUAUUUCCAAACUCAAUAACUUAAAAAUUAUUCAUGAUUUCCAUUCCCAAUAUUUAACUCAAACCUUGUCAAAAUGACUUCUUUUACCAACCUGGAGGGAGUAUAAUUUUUUUAGCAUCUUAACGAUCUCAAAUAAAAAACUCAAAAACUAGAAAUUAAUUGUAGAUCUUGAUUGAAUCUAUAAAUUCCUAGUUGAGCUUUGUCAUUUGAGAUUGUUAAGAUGAUAAAAAGAUAAUAUAAAGUUUGAGCAGCAUAUAAUUGCAUACCAGGCUUUGUUGUGUUAAAAUUUAUAUCUUUCUUAGAUGGUGUCGGAUAAAACUACUUUGUACAUGAAAAUUAUAAUGCCCAAUGCGAUCUACAACUUUCUAAUUUUGAGUUUUACCAUUUAAAGUUAUUAAGAUGCUCAGAACAAUAAUAUAAUGUUUCAGCAGCAUGCCAAUCGUGUUUCAUACCAUUUUUUAGAACAUCUAAACAACUCCAAAUAAAAACUAAAAACUAAAAAGUACUUUUCAGCGGUGUUUUUCUCUCAUAACAAUUCAACGAAUAAUAUUUUUGAGUAUCAGUAUAAGCAAAAUUUCAGCGAGCGCUACAACUUUCAUGUACAAAGUAUCACCGUACAUAAAAGACUUGAUUUUUUUUCUAAGAUGACAUGCCCCCGUACGUGAUUGAUAUGCUAUUGAAAAUGUAUAUUAUUUUUUAGCAUCUUAACAAUCUUAAAGAGAAAAAAAAUCAAUACUAUAGGAAGUUGUAUCUCACACUAGUAGACAGGCUCAUAGCUGGCGCCUCCUUUUUAUACCACAGACGGUUCCAGUUACGACACGCUUCUGGUAUAAAUAGGACGGUGUCAGAGAUUUUCGGCCGCCUGUGCAAACGUUUUUCACAGGCGGUUGACUUAAGCCAACCGCCAGUGUAAAUGCUUCAUUUACACUGACGGUUGGCUUAAGUCAACCGCCUGUGAUAAACUAUUUCCACAGGCGGUUGGCUUAAGCCAACCGCCAGUGUAAAUGCCAAAGAGUUUUCAGCAUAGUCAGCAAACUCAAAUUUGUUUUUGGAAAGAAGACAAAAGAUGGUGUUGAUGCAAAACUAAUCUGCAAACACAAAGGGCUAAUACCCGAUUCAAACGUUAAGGCGUGCCAGCCGAUUUGACCUUACUAUCGGCAAAGGUGAUAACUCGAAUACUUUAGUCCUGACAACAGCGAUGCGCCCGGAUGUCACGGCUAAGAGGUACUCACACGGAACUUAAGGAUACGCCGAGCUUGAGUCGACGAAUUCCUAAGAACUCGUAACAAAAAGAAAACGUAUGACGAAGUCGUCGAAAAGUAAAUGCUAGAAUAUGAGUAAAAACGUGUGUUUGAUUGAUUGAUAGAUGUCCCGAUUACAAGGUCUUAGGGCUUAUAUUUAUACCCUGCUCAAAGAGCUACGACCAGACACGAUUAGAAUUCGAAUUCCAAAUUACACGGAACCCGUAUACAAAACGAUAUGAAUAACAUAAGGAAAUAAUAAAACCAUCCUUCGUGACAAACCGAAACUCCUCUACAUGACAACUGGCAGCUUCCGGACUCCUCCUUCGCGUCAUCGGCAAUCCCCUUGCCAUAGUCAUCGGCAGACCCUUUUACUUGGUCAUCGGCACCAUAUUACUGUCUGAGGACUUAGCCACGUUCAACCUUUCCCUCAUCGGUAACCAUCCUUACCAGCAACCCGCAUCGUACUGCCACCCUGUCCUGCCAUCCUGGACACGUGCCCAAAAAUGGUGUCAACACAUGCCCCCCAGUUUCGGAGUAUAAAACUAUUAAUGCUCCGAAAUUCUCUGCAGUAAUGAUGUCUUCUCCGCAAUUAAUGCUCCUAACCUGGUAACCGACAACCUCAAUCUGGGCAACUCUGAUCCUAAUCCUCCGCAGAUCCCUCGAAAUCCACAACUUCCCAAACGGGCAUCUCUCUUAGUCGUACAUCGGCAACAAUACCGUUACAAAGAUCUGCCGAUGCUCUGCCCAGGAUAUUCGCAAAAACGGUUACUUUCCCUCUAUCCGUCCAUCGGCAGGACGACCGUUAUAGAAUAUCACCGAUGGACCGACCAGGAGAUCGCGCACAGUAAAAUAUCUUUAAAUAAUGACCGCUUCCUGUCAAAUCACCUGCACAAUCCCUGGAUUAUCGUGCGAACAGUUACCAUAUCCACUUGAGUACCCUCGGGUUUCUCGGAUGCGGCAAAGAAAUAAGUCAGAUUUGCCCUUGUCCAUCUUGCCCUAUAAAUAGUUCCUUCUUGGGUACUCCUCCCCCAUUACAUCAUUCUGCCAUCCAACUUCACUUUUCCAGCGGCGGCGCCAUUCUCAAUCCUCAAGAUCUUUGACAAGCAUUCUUCUUCAUCAACUCCGGCGUCUUCCAGCGUCCCCUUCACGACAAGAUGGCCGUUGGCUUCGUCGUCCCUGAGGUCAAACUUCCAUCUCAUCUGCUGUACCUUUUUCCUGCAUUCCUGUUCAUCUGCGAUUUACCUUACCGAAUAUUUUCCUUCUCCUUUUUCUUUGUAUCUUUAUUCCCCAAAACACCAGGAGUUAUCCAAUAAAAUCGUCAUUCCUACCGAUCAACCACAUCUCCAAUGCCUCGGCCCUCUAGGGGAUCCAGAUCCAACCGACCUUAUCAACGCAGAAACCAACAGGGUUCCCUUUAGAGCUGAAAACUUUGCUCUAGAUCUAUGGAAGGACACCUUUCGCUCUUGGCCUAGCCCUACUGUAGGGUGGAAAGACUGGUUCUUGAGGGUCAGCAACUCUUAUGAAGUUCAAUGGGGUGAGAGGAAAUUAGCUCAAUGCAUUAGGCUGUCCAUUGCCGAUAUGCACAGGAACGAGUCAUUGCUGAUAGCCGCAUCUUACUUUUGGUCAGACACUCUCAACGCUUUUGUUUUUGGCCACGGCCCUGCUUCUCCUACCCUUGCCGAUGUAGCCAUGCUUACUGGGUUAGACAUAUCUUCUGCCGAUAGCACCCACUUUUUUGAUACCGCCCCCAGUGCCAAAGUGGAGACUCGCGCUAUCGGCGGCUGGUCAGGGUACAUCCAGAAGUACCGCGGGAGAGGGCCUGUCACCAUAAAGGAACAAACCACUUUUCUGAACAUGUGGCUAGACAAGUUUGUAUUCUGUGGUCGAUCGGCAGGACCGACUUCUGUCUAUCUAUCGGCAGCAGAAAGAUUGGCUAGCGGUGGUCAAUUUCCUCUCGGCCGUUAUUUGCUCGGCGCCGUUUAUCACCUUCUUCAUCAGGUAGUCCAGAAACUCCUGCUCGGCCAACCUAUCGGCAACUUGGGAGGUCCUUGGUGGUUUAUUAAUAUGUGGCUCAAUCUGCACCUGCACAAGCGCCUCGAUCUCAACUUGUUCUCUCAGCACUUCCCAAGAGAUAUAGCCGAGAACCAUGUGUUGGGUGAAGAGGAAUCGGCAACACGUGCCCCCCUGAACUUUGGCGAAGCUGUUAUAGUUCUACCCGGUUCAGGGAACACCCCGGAUCAGAUCGGCCGAUUCUUCGAAACGCUGUAUGAGGGUCUGGCCAAAGAUGAACGACCAUGGCUGGCUUAUGACGACCCGGAUAGCAUGCUCCCUCUGACCUUCAAUCCGUUCGACGAAGCUCUUGAUAGGGACAAUGAGGUGAUGAUGGCAAUCGUGACUCCCAGAGCCAUACCAGUGAACUUCUUCGGCAGCACGAAAACCUCUCCCCAAACCUAUGAAUUUUAUAAUCCAUCGGCAUUAGCUCGCCAGCUAGCUUUCGGCCAAUUACCGAUCGCACUUCCUUAUGCCGAUGUAAUAAAGCCCAGAGAACCCAUCGCUAACCUCCUCGAGUGGACUCGAGUAGCCCAGCUACCACCAAAUGCCGAUACAGAUGUAGAUCUGUCAGAAUGGGUUCCAGCUGCCUUUAUCACUCAAGCAUACAAGCUAUGGUGGGCAGAAUGGAAGGAGAAUCUAUUCUGCAGAUCGGCCCUCUCAUACCGCGGCAUGAUCGACCCCGAAUACGAAGUCCCUGACGACACUGUAAGUAUUUUAAACCGAUGUCUCAUUUUCCAAUACUAUUCCCAUCGGUAACUUACCCCUGUAUUCUUUUUGCAGAUUGACAACACCCCCCCAUCGGUUAGCAGGAGUGGCAAGCCGAUCGACUUAUUCCCAUCAGGCCCGAUCUCCUCAAUCGGCCACAAUGCUCCCACUCUGGCUUCCAUCGUCACCCAAGCAUCGGAGAAGAAUUCCGUCGAUAGUUCGAUAAUACAAUUCAUUUUCAAGGAUCACAUACUUGGUUGCUUGAAAUCGAACCCGUCUUUCAACUUUUUUGGAUGGAUCUUUUAGAUAAUCAAUAAUUUCUUCCCUCCAAUCACCGGCACUAACUACCGAUGUCGCAUUAAUCAUUGGCUGAUAUCCCGAGGCAUGCUGGGCUAACCGAUUAGCGUCUUCAUUAUGCAAUCGGGGAAUAUGCUCCAAUUGGAAAUUCUUGAAUUCCUUUAACAGUUGUAUACUUCUCUCGAAAUAGGUUAUGAGAACUUCACUCCGGCAUUCAUAGCUUCCGGCCAAUUGAUUUAUAACCAACAUGGAAUCUCCGAACACUUCAACAGCAUCAGCAUGAACUUCUCUUAAUAACUCCAAUCCCCUGAUCAGAGCUUGAUACUCAGCCUGAUUAUUUGUUGAUGUAGCAACAAUCGGCAAGGAAAAUUCAUACUUCCUCCCCUUAGGAGAAACUAAUACAAUGCCGAUUCCUGCUCCCUGGUCACAGGUAGAUCCAUCAAAGAAGAGCGUCCAGGGUGCAAUUUCCAAGGUUUCCACUAGACCGCAAUGCUGAGUCACAAAAUCGGCCAUAACCUGCCCUUUGACCGCCUUAGCCGAUUCGUAACGCAAAUCGAACUCCGACAGCGCCAAAAUCCAUUUACCGAUCCUACCACUCAUAAUCGGCAUAGAUAGCAUGUAUCGGACCACGUCAUCUUUGCAAACAACAGCACAUUCGGCCGACAACAGAUAAUGUCUUAGCUUGAUACAUGAGAAAUAUAAGCACAAGCACAGCUUCUCUAUAGCCGAAUACCUGGUUUCAGCAUCAAUCAACCUCCUGCUCAAAUAAUAAAUUACUCUCUCCUUUCCUUCAAAUUCUUGAACUAAAGCUGAACCAAUAACCGAUCCAUCGGUAGAUAAAUAUAAUUUGAAGGGUUUCCCUUGUUGGGGUGGAACUAAAACUGGAGGAUUCACUAGAUACUUUUUGAUCUCAUCCAAAGCCAACUGCUGUUCUUCCCCCCAAACAAACUCCUGAUCGGCUUUCAAUUUAAGAAGGGGACUGAAAGCACGAAUUCUCCCAGAUAAAUUUGAUAUAAAUCUUCUGAUAAAAUUCACCUUGCCGAUCAAGGAUUGGAGCUCGGUUUUAUUGGUAGGGGCCACUAUUUUAUUGAUGGCAUCAAUAGAUCUUCGACUAAUCUCAAUACCCCUCUGAUGUACCAUAAAACCAAGAAACUGCCCUGCCGAUACGCCAAAUGCACACUUGUUGGGAUUCAUCUUCAAUCCAUGCUUCCUGGUGCACUCCAACACUUUUCGUAAAUCGGCAAGAUGCUUUGAGAAAUCUCCAGACUUAACCACCACAUCAUCAAUAUAAAUUUCUACGAUUUUGCCGAUGAACUCAUGAAAUAUGAAAUUCAUAGCCCUUUGAUAAGUAGCACCAGCAUUCUUUAACCCAAAAGUCAUGACUAUCCAUUCAAACAAUCCAACAUGACCAGGACACCUGAAUGCGGUUUUUGGAAUAUCCUCCUCUGCCAUGAAUAUUUGAUUGUAACCCGCAUUACCAUCCAUGAAACUGAUGACCCGAUGGCCAGCCGCAGCAUCAACCAGUAGAUCGGCGACAGGCAUUGGGUACCCAUCCAUCGGCGUAGCUUUAUUGAGAUUCCUGAAAUCAAUGCACACUCGAAGCUUCCCGUUCUUUUUGUAAACCGGAACAACAUUGGAAAUCCAUUCGGCAUACCGACACUGCCGAAUAAACUUAGCUUCAAUAAGUUUAGUGAUUUCGGCCUUAAUAUCAGGUAGAAUGUUAAGAUUACAUCGGCGGGCUGGUUGCUGAUGUGGCCGAAAUCCAGACUUGAUGGGUAACCGAUGUUCAACAAUUGAUCGGUCUAAACCAGGCAUCUCUGUAUAAUCCCAAGCAAAGCAAUCUUUAUAUUCCUUCAACAAACUAGUUAAUUGCCGUUUACACUCAGGGUCUAGUUUAGCACUAAUAAAAGUAGGCCUAGGCUUAUCACCACUACCUAUAUCUACUUCUACCAAAUCGUCGGCCGAUGUGAAUCCUUGGCCUAAUUUUCCAUCAUCGGCGAAUCUAUCCAUUAAAAACCGUCGUCAGAACCGACUGCUUGGAUCGGUGGAAUCUCAUAAUCGGCAACUUUGAGAAAAUCUUUCUCCCAAACUUCUCCUGAAAUGCACCUAGUCUUUUCAUAAGUAUCCGCUUCUGCCGAUGCGAUAACAUAAGAAGAAUCCCCUGGGACGAUUUCAAUCUUGUCACCUACCCACUGAACCAAGCACUGAUGCAUUGUAGAUGGGACACAACAAUUGGCAUGAAUCCAAUCUCUCCCCAAUAAUAAAUUAUAGGCACCUUUUCCGCUGAUCACGAAAAAGGUUGUCGGCAAGGUUUUGCUGCCGAUCGUCAACUCUGCACAUAUCGCCCCCUUGACCGGAGACACGUUUCCCUCAAAGUCUUUGAGCAUCAUAUCGGUCUUGGUCAAAUCUUGAUCCCCUUUCCCAAGCUUCCGAUAUACUGCAUACGGCAUAAUAUUAAUAGCAGCUCCACCAUCAACUAGGAUCUUGGUCAUUGGCUGCCCAUCAACCCUUCCUUUGAGGAACAAAGCUUUAAGAUGCUGCCUCUCGUUAUCGGCAGGUUUCUCAAAGAUAGCCGUCAUCGGAUCCAGAGCCAACUGAGCUAUCUGAUCAGAAAAUCCCAACUCAUCAUCACUGGCUGGUGCAAGAAACUCCAUCGGCAACAUGAAUACCAUGUUGACGCCUGCCGAUGGACCUUCCUUCUUAGUGUCUGCCGGCUGCCGAUUUUCAGAACUCUCUCCUUUAUUUAACUCCUCCUGCCUUUCUCGUUGCAACCUCCUUUUCUGUGUCUUGGUUAAACCUUGAGGGCACCAUGGAGGAAGUGGCCUUUGCCUUACUGCCGGGCGUCGGUUCUCCCUUGACUCCAUACGAUGUGUGUUAGCAUCUCUGCAAAAUAUGAACUCAUCGGGAACCCGCGCAUUAGCCAUUUCCUCAAGCUCUUCCUGGUUCCUGGGAAAAUAUUGGACACGGUCACCGAGCCGAUCGCGAACACUAAGCCUGCCCCCCAGCCGAUCAUGAACUGACGCUCUUCCUCUGAUUGGCCCAUUAAAUCGCCGUUCAUCAUCACGAUAACGCCGAUCGUUCCUAUCGUACCGAUCAUAACCGUUGCAUUCAGGGCAGUCUCUGACAGUAGGAAGCUUGAUAUUUUCCUCCCAACAAUGGAUGAAGAAUGGGCAACUCCAAUGAUCCCUGUGCCGAUUCCACUCCUGCCGACGUCUUUCUUCCUCCCGUUGAUAAUCUUCCUGCUGGCGCCGAUAUCGAUCUUCCCGUUGUUGCCAUCUCUCUCGAGGCCUUCUAUGAGUUAUAACAAUACCAGACCGAGGAAGUCUUCCUGAGCUAGCUCCUUCCUGGACCAAGCCCUUACUUCUUGCAUCGGCGGUAGUAACUUGAUGCCGAGGAUCUACCGAUGCACUCUUCUCAGCUGUCUCCGAUGUUAAGACCUUAGCCUUCCCCUUAGCGUCCAACAUGUUUGUCGGGAAAGGAUGUUGGUCUAUCUUCAUCGGCUUUUGGGCUUUAAAACUGUCAAACUUGAUUCUCCCCGACUCUAUAGCCGAUUGCAGCUGUUGUCUGAAUACUUUGCACUCGUUGGUGUCAUGUGAAGUUGCAUUAUGCCACUUGCAAUAUCUCAUCCUCUUCAACUCUUCUGCCGACGGGAUCACAUGGUUAGGUGACAGUUUGAUCUGACCUUCCUGAAGUAGAAAGUCAAAUAUCCUAUCGGCCUUGGCGGUGUCAAAGGCAAACUUCUCUGGUUCUUUCUGCCCAAAAGGACAAGACAUCGGCUUCUUGUUUUUUACCCACUCUGCCAAACCGAUUACUGGUUCCUCGUCGGAAUCUGAGCUUGUUGCUUCGUCAACAAAUGACACUUUCUUAUUCCAUGCCCUCUUAGGCUCGAAAGGCUUGAUGUCUUGAUCAGAUAUCCUCUGCACCAAAUGACUUAAACUCUCGAACUCUUGAGAUGCAUACUUAUCCCUGAUAUGUGGCAACAAACCCUGGAAAGCCAAAUCGGCUAGCUGCCGAUCAUCCAGAACCAGGCUAUAGCAUUUAUUCUUGACCUCUCGUAUCCUCUGCACAAAUCCCUCAACCGACUCGUCAUUACGUUGCCUCAACUUAACCAAGUCGGUGAUCUUCUUCUCAUGAACCCCUGAGAAGAAGUAUCUGUGGAAUUGUUUCUCUAGAUCGGCCCAAGUAAUUACUGAGUUGGGAGGUAACGAUAUGAACCAAGUAAAGGCCGAUCCAGACAGUGAUGACGAAAAUAGACGAACCCUCAAUUCGUCCCUGUUACCAGCCUCUCCACAUUGAAUAAUGAACCUGUUGACAUGCUCCAUGGUUGACGUGUCGUCCUGCCCGGAAAACUUUGUAAAAUCUGGUACCUUGUAUCGAUGUGGAAGCGGGAUCAAAUCAUACGCUGGAGGAUACGGUGUCCGAUAAGAAUAAGUGUUGACUUUGGGUUUUAUCCCAAAUUGUUCCCUCAUUACUUCAGCAAUCUUAUCGGCCCAAUAAGCAUCGGCAUCUUGCCGAUGAGGCGGCUGCGGAUCCGGUACUUGGUGGCGAACCUCCACGUGUCUGUUUGGGACGUGACCUGUAUGGAACAUCGUAUUGGCCACCUGUCCUCCAAUCUACGGACUACCAAACUGCUGUCCACCGAUUGGCUGUCCUCCGAGUUGCUGUCCAAAAUUUAUUGGCUGGUUGGGAAUUCCCUGACCUUGGAACCCGGGAUAAACCUGCCCUUGCUGGAACCCUGUAGUCUGAUAACCCUGCUGGGGCGACUGUGGAAAGACUUGCUGUCCAAGCCAUCCAUUAUUAGCGUUCAUCGGCAUAGGUGCUGCCGAUGAUUGGUAAUUGGGUACCGUCGUUGAAUUGACAUACCCUGACUGGGCCAUAGGCCUCUGUUGCACCAGCAUUGAUUCUGCCGAUGCGUUAGGCAUCUGGAACAUUGGAUCUUGAGGAUUUCCGGCGUGAGGCCUUGCAGUAGUAGUUGUGGUAUACCGAGGACUCUGGUUCACCGGCACAUUGGAAGGUACUGAUGUCAUAGGAGUUUUACCCCUCAUGUCAGUUAUCUGUGAUGUUCCCGGCGUCAACUCUGGAGGCAUACCAUAACCCCACCAGUUAGGAGGAAGAGUUAACCCCGACAUUGCCGAUGCCAACAUAUCUGUUGUCAGUUUAUGCUGCCCAACUGAAAUUUGUGGGUUGGUUACCAUCGGCAUAGAUAGUGCACCAGUAGUCCCCAAUGUACUUGGAGGGACGGCAAACUGUGCACUUGCACUCGUCAAGGCAGCCGAUGGAGCCGUGACCUCUGGUGCUGUGGGUUGAUGAUGGGAAGGGCCCACAUAAUCCGGCGGGAUUUGUCCUUCCUUGAAGGUUCUUGCCACGGCGUUGAAAACCGUAUUAGACAGUACACCAGCUUGGUUGAUCAGCGCUCGAUUGAUGGCAUUGUCAACCAUGUCUUGAAGCUUGCCAGGAUUAGCGUCAAAGGUGACCUGCCGUGGUGCCGGCAGUGCAUCUUUCUGGACCACUUCGCCGCUCCUGUUUAUGCUGAAAGACUUCAGGCACUGCUGCUUGAACUCUUCCAUGGCUUGGGCAAUAGCUUGCUUCUGCUCAUCCUUGAGGUUAGCUUCCGUCACGGGGAUGACGUUGUCUUGGUCGAGGUCAGAGAUCGACAUCUUGAUCUUGAAUCUGUCCCACCGGGCGUGCCAGAAGAUGUGUUGAUGCAAAACUAAUCUGCAAACACAAAGGGCUAAUACCCGAUUCAAACGUUAAGGCGUGCCAGCCGAUUUGACCUUACUAUCGGCAAAGGUGAUAACUCGAAUACUUUAGUCCUGACAACAGCGAUGCGCCCGGAUGUCACGGCUAAGAGGUACUCACACGGAACUUAAGGAUACGCCGAGCUUGAGUCGACGAAUUCCUAAGAACUCGUAACAAAAAGAAAACGUAUGACGAAGUCGUCGAAAAGUAAAUGCUAGAAUAUGAGUAAAAACGUGUGUUUGAUUGAUUGAUAGAUGUCCCGAUUACAAGGUCUUAGGGCUUAUAUUUAUACCCUGCUCAAAGAGCUACGACCAGACACGAUUAGAAUUCGAAUUCCAAAUUACACGGAACCCGUAUACAAAACGAUAUGAAUAACAUAAGGAAAUAAUAAAACCAUCCUUCGUGACAAACCGAAACUCCUCUACAUGACAACUGGCAGCUUCCGGACUCCUCCUUCGCGUCGUCGGCAAUCCCCUUGCCAUAGUCAUCGGCAGACCCUUUUACUUGGUCAUCGGCACCAUAUUACUGUCUGAGGACUUAGCCACGUUCAACCUUUCCCUCAUCGGUAACCAUCCUUACCAGCAACCCGCAUCGUACUGCCACCCUGUCCUGCCAUCCUGGACACGUGCCCAAAAAUGGUGUCAACAGAUGGAAAACCAAGAAAGAAUGUCAAGCCAGCUCCAGGGGCUACAUUCAAGAAGAAGUCAAUUUUCUUCGAGUAUUUGGAAUACUGGCCAGAGUUAGAUGUCCGCCACGCGAUCGAUGGUAUGCACGUUCAGAAGAACGUGUUUGAAAGCGUAAUUGACACCUUGUUGGACAUGAAGGGCAAGACAAAGGAAGGAUUAAAUUCACGCUUGGACAUGGUACAGUUAGGCAUAAAAAAAGAACUUCACCCUGUUAGGCUAGAAAAUGAGAAGUACCACCUCCCGGCAGCAAGCUACAACCUCAACAAUGAAGAGAAACAUGAGAUGUGUGUGUGGUUAAAGAAAUUGAAAGUCCCAUCUGGAUUCUGCUUUAGCAUACGGAUUAUUGUGUCAAUGAAAGACCUUACACUCACCAACUACAACUCACAUGAUUGUCAUGUCAUAUUGACUACUUUUCUCCCUAUUGCCAUUAGGGCUAUAAACCCAUUGUGGAUAAAGGUUGCAGUUACACUAUUGUGCUACUUCUUCAACAAGAUCUCACAGAAGGUGAUUGAACGUGAUGAGUUGGCGUCUCUUAAGGAAUUCGUAGUGGAGACAGUUUCACAGUUUGAGAUGUGUUUCCCCCCAGCAUUCUUCGAUGUGAUGGUUCACCUUGUGGUUCACUUGGUUUCACAAAUAGAGGCAUUGGGUCCCAUGUAUUUGCAUGAGAUGUGGACGUAUGAACGCUUCAUGUCAAUACUAAAUGGCUAUGUAUCAACUCGUGCUCGUCGAGAUGCGUCUAUGGUAGAGGGGUACUUAACCGAAGAGGCCAUUGAGUCCGGAGGUCCAUUCUGCAAUAGGGUCCUAAAAGACCAGGUUGCAAUAGGUUUGCCUCCGUCACGACAUGAGGGUAGGCUGAAUGGAAGAGGUAGGAUGGGAAAGAAAUCAUACGUCCCAAAAGAUUACAAUUCAGUCCUCGAAGCACAUCACAGCGUCCUACAUCAGCUCUCGAUAAUGGAGCCUUUGAUCAAUGUACACAUUGAAGAGCUUCAAAAACAUAAUCAUGGGCACACAGAUGAAUGGAUAAUGAAGGAACAUAAGAAUCAGUUCACCUCAUGGCUAAGGGAGCAGGACAUUCCAGAUGGAGAAACACUCGAGGAUCGCACCAUCAAGGUCUUGGCAUCUAGGCCAUCACGCCAGGUCACGACUUGGCAAACCUAUGACAUUAGUGGCUUCACGUUCUGUACCAAGUCCAAAGACCAAAAGAGCAUGGCACAAAAUAGUGGUGUUCGAUGCGACGCCUUAGACUCUGAAACUGGUGAGGAAACAACUUACUUUGGCUUCGUUGAGGACAUAUGGGAACUAGACUAUGGUACAUUUCAGAUCCCUGUAUUUCGGUGUCAAUGGGUUGAAGACAAACAUGUCACAAUGGACAACUAUGGGAUUAGAGUUCUAGAUCUAAGCAAGGUAGGCUACAAAGAUGAUCCAUGGAUAAUGGCUAACCGUGCUGCACAGGUCUUCUAUGCUGAGCAGGUCCUCUCUCCUAAUGAUAAGAAGAAAAUUACGGACCAUCCAAAGCACAUAGUUUUCCCUGGAAAGCAACAAGCCAUUGGAGUUGAUGGUGUAUCUGACUUGGAUGAAUUUAACCAGUUCAGUGACAUGUCUCUCUUUGUAGACGACCAUCCAGUAAAGAUAAGGAAUGUUGAGCGAAGCAUUCCACAGAGCUCGUUGCCCUGGGUGCGUCACGAUGGACAAGGAAGAACAGUAGCUGCCUAGAUUUUAUUUGUCAUUUGCCAUGUAAUCUAUUUGUACCUUAUGCUAUGUGCCCUUCUCUAUUUCUACAUGUAAGGGUUACUAGUGCCAUUGAUGUCGUAUUGGUCUCAAACUUUUACUAAGGGUUACUAGUGCCAUUGAUAUUCAAUCCACCAAAUUUGGGAUUUUUCUGAUGUGGUUUAUUACUUUAUCCGGUUUAAUUGAAUUUUUGUGCGAUAUCACCCACUAAUUAGCGCUUGAACUAAGUCUACCCCUAAAAUGACUCCAAAUGGUGCUAAACUUCUUCACAGGGUCUUAUAUACCAUAGGAAAUAAAACUUCCUUGUGGUUGGUGGAAAAACCUAGUGGGAUCUAGGUGUAGUCCACCAUUUUUCAUCUCAUUUAACACAAAGAAAAAUGUAAUAAUAGCUUGCAUGACUAUAAAAUCCUAAGAUCUUGUGUGGGGUUAUCAUUUGAGUGUAGAAGCUUGUCAAAAAAAUUUCAAGACAUUUGGAGAUAGGCAUAACAUACAUGCUUCACAAAUGUAUAAGAGUCAUUCCACCGAACUAUGCUCAAACAUAUGGGUUCCUCACAUUUAUAUUGUCAACGAUAAAUUACACAAAGGAAUAUAUUUUUCAUAGCAUUUACACAUAACAAUAAAGCUAACAAAAUUAGAUUUAUAUUUUUCUGGUAUUCCUAGAAUUAUUUAUGUAUUAAACAAGAUAUGAGGCACAUAUUCAAUUUAAAUCAUUUUAAAAAAGCUGCAUAUAAAAGUACCUCAAACAUGAAAUUUCAUAAUUUUAACAUGUGUCUCUGGUCAAGAGGAACACAACAAAUAUUUUUUCACUAAUUUAGGACAAAUAUUUUUGAAGAUAUGAUUUUUUGAAUCAUUUAAAUAAUUUCUAAAAAUAUAUAUAAGGAAAACUUUAAAUAAACUGAAAAUACAUUUCUACAUGCGGUUGGCUAAGCCAACCGCCAGUACUAAUGCAUUUGUACUGACGGUUGGCUUAGUCAACCGCCUGUACAAAUGCAUUAGUACAGGCGGUUGGCUUAGUCAACCGCCUAUAGAGAUGGUUUCUACAUGCGGUUGACUAAGCCAACCGCCUGUACUAAUGCCUCUGUAUAUAACCUUCGGUCCUCCGCUCGAAAUUUUUCUAAGUCUGGCGCCCAGUUGAUUUGAAACCACGCUGUCAGGCUGUCCAAAUCUGCGGUGAGCUUCUUCCUCGCACGUCUUCCGUCUUUCGCCGCCGCGUCAAGCACUUCGGUGAGCUCUCUCUCUUCUUCUCUCUCUGCGUGUGCGCGCUUGACGGCGGUGGCUAUGGUGUGCGGCGGUGGUGGCUGUGGUGUGGUGGCGGACCGCGAAGAAGAGGCGCAGUGGUGUGCGCGGGCCCGACGACGAUGGUAGCGGUGGCGGUGAGCGGCGGGCGUGGUGGCAAGCGGCGGGCGCGGCUGGAGGUUGGGGAUAACCCCGACAUGUGGGGCCCACCUGCCAGCGUGAGGGAGAGAAGGGGAGAGGGCACGGGCUGUGCUGGGCCUGCUGGCCCGGAAACGAGUGCAAAAUAUUAUAAAUAAAAUUAGAUUUAUUCAUUUUAUAAAUAUAUGUUAUAAUGUUAUAAAAUAUAGCAAAAAAUUAGAAAAAAUCAGAAAAAUUAAAAAUAAAAUCAGGUAUAUUAUUAUGUCUUUUACAUGUAAUUUUAUUCAUAAUUAUUAUUGUAUAAAUAAUUGUUAUUAUUUUUGUAAAUACAUGUUAUAAUGUUAUAAAAUAUAGCAAAAAAUAGAAAAAUCAGAAAAAAUAAAAAUAAAAGCAGGUAUGAUAUAAUCUCUUUGUUAUAAUCUCUUUGUAAUAGGAUUCAUAAUUAUUCCUUUUAUAAAUACUUGUUAUUAUUUCUCUUUGUAUAUGUAAUAUGAUUCAUAAUUAAUUCUUUUAUAAAUACUUGUUAUUAUUUCUCUUUAUAUAUGUAAUAGGAUUCAUUAUUAUUCCUUUUAUAAAUACUUGUUAUUAUUUCUCUUUGUAUAUGUAAUAGGAUUCAUAAUUAAUCCUUUUAUAAAUACUUGUUAUUAUUUCUCUUUGUAUAUGUAUUAGUGUAGGUAUUUCUCUUUAUAUAUGUAUUUCAUACCCCAAGAUACAUAAAUUUAAUUUUAUGCAUAAAUUACAUAGAUUUCUGCGAUGAGUUCUCCGCACAAGGACGAAGCACUGCAGUCCCAACCCACGGAGCAAAUAGAAGGGUCAUCCGACCCUAUGGAACAAGCUCGUGAGGUCACGAAACAAGUAGAAACGGGCAAAGCAUUAGGAUCGUCCUAUGAACAAGAAGCUAGCGACGAUAUGGAGCCUCUAAGAGUGAGGAAGACUCGUCGUGAAUUGGCACGUGACCCUGAUUACAAUCCAGAAGCCGAUGAGGUAAAUUAGAGACAUUCAUGAUUUCAUGUAAUUAAAUGAUUUCUAUUCAUAGUUUCUACAUAUAAACACGCCCAUGAUUCACAUGUCUAUACUCAGGAGGCAAUGUCUCAGUUUAGAGAGAUGAUGUCUCAGGAGGAAGUGGCACACGAAGAUGCACCGGAACCGACGACCGCAACGACGAGCCCUGAGAGGCCAUGUCAGUCUAGGAAAAGGUAGCGGCUAGGUUUGAAACGAGGCGAGAGAGGGUUGAACCAAUUUCUAGAUGACACAUAUGCCAUCACAGAUGUGAGCCCUACCGGACAACCCCUAGCUCUUGAGGAGGCCCUACCCAAAUACAGGAACGCAAUUGGUUUCUAUGUGAGGGACAUUUUUGAUAUCACAGUUAAGAACUGGGCUGGUGUGUCGAAUAAUCACAAGAUCAAAAUUUGGGAUAAGAUUAAGACAAGGUUCCAGUUUCCUAGGAAUGUGCCAGAAGAUUUAGUGAAGACAUAUACAAUGAAGCAAUGUGCGGUUAGUUUCCAAAAUUGGAGGUCGGAGAUGAAUGUCAAGUAUGCAAAGACAAGGAUGGAUCCGACAUCCAAAUACAAUAUUACUAAAGGGUAGUGGGCUGUUUUUCUAGAGCAGAGAAAUGACCCUAACUUCUUAGCUCGGAGCGAAGCCAACUCCCAGCUCGCAAAGAGGAACAAGUAUCACCACCAUCUAGGCACAGGUGGUUACCGGCACCAAGUUCCUAAAUGGAGGCAAGAAGAGGCUGCGAAGAAGGCCGUAGGGUUGCCAGUGCUGUCCGAGCAAGUCGGUGAAAGGUCCGCGAAUUGGAUCCGUGCUCGGAAGCCAAAGGAAACCGAGACGGGUGUGUCCUUUGAAGACCCAAUGCUUGAUGAAGCAAUGAAGAGCAUCUUUGCAGUGGCAGGCAUGCAGCAGGAAGGCAAGUUUACACCACGAAGGGAGAGAGACAUCCUUAGUGUUGGCCUCGGUAACCCCGAGCAUCCUGGCCGUGUUCGAGGCAUCUCAUCCAAAGAAGGAUGGAAGGAUGGAUUCGGCCCUCAAUGGGCAAAUGAGUAUAAGAAACAUGAUCGGUACAAGGAACAAAUGGCAAAUUAUUUUCAGGAAGAGGCUAAGAAAGACUUCCAAGAGAUGAUGGGGAAGUUGCUAGAAAAUCCUCCUCCUGAGUUGAUGCAGAAACUAGCGAGUGCCAUGUCAAAUGCAGCUACCCAAAUGAGCACUCAAGCUCCCCAAAUGCAGCUAGUCCCAGUGGUGUCGUAACCGUUGGUGGCAUCAAGUGAAACAAUCAUUCCAAGCAGUAUCGCAUCUACGGCAAACAAGGAUGACUAUCCAGUUGACGACAUUGUUACUUCUACACCUUGCUCCCUUGUCAUAAGAUAUGGGAUUAACAAUCAUCGUACAAGGGAAGUAGCCACGGGCAAAGCGAUCCCAGGAGGACCUAAAUACCAUGGUGCUGACAUCCCUAAAGACUACUGCAGAGUAGAGGUAUCAACCGUGGUCCAAGGAUAUGAGGACGAGAUUCUAGACAUCCCUGGUCCCAAGGAUAUUGUGAAACUAGGACAGGCGAUAAACAAUUUCAUCCUUUGGCCUCGGAGGGACGUGCAACUAAGGGAGCCACCACCACCCUCUCAAGAGAUGCCACUAACCCAGGAGUCGUCAACUCAUGUCGAUCCUCUUCCUAACCCACCGCCUUCACCUCCCCAAUCUCUUCCUGACCCACCAGAAUCACCUCUCCAUGUUUUCCCUGUCCAUCAACCAUCUCCUCUCCAUGAUCUUUCUACCCCAUAGUCAACACAAUCUCCACCACCAUUCAAUUCCACCCCUUCCCCACAACUCAAAGAUCCAGAACCAAGAAGUGAGCCACCAAAGGUGACAAAGAAGAAAGUAUUUCCGAUACCUAAGUUGAUUUCACCAUUCGAGCCAAAGAAAAAAUCAGCUGGGCAAGUGAGAUUUUUGUCAGGCAUUGCUUCAAAACGCAAAAUACAAGAGCAUGAGAUUUCUGAGCUAGCAAAGUUAGAGGUGCCGGCGCCUAAGGUCAUAACUCCUGUCAAUUUCAAGGUGCCAACUGCAGAAGACUACAAGAAUAUCCCCAAAAAGUACGUGUGGGGAAAGCCUCUACUCAGUCGGACUAAACUUAUGAAGAAACUAAGUGGUAUAAAAAGGUUUCAUGACUGGUACAUGAGAGCCUCUUCUGCUGGCAUCGACACCAUAAGCAUGCGAAUACCGCAAAUAGCAUUUCUCAGCCAGAGUACUAACAAAUGCAUGCUCACUUUUGAUGACAUGUGGGCACUGAUGAACCACGAGAUGCUAGAUGUACAGAUCGUAACGACAUUUGCAUUGUAAGUGUUACAUAGUUACACACAUUGUAGUUGAAUCAAUUUUGAAUAUCUGACAUGCUUCUAUCUUGCACAAUGUUAUAUGAUCAACAAGAUAUGUAUUUUGGUUCGGACCUUAAUUAUUGUGCCGAAGAAAGGAAUGCCUAUCUCUGCCCAAUAGAUAUAGCCGAAGAUCGGCACACAUUUCGGAUCGGGAAUGACAGCACAGAGGUAUAGGGUUUGGAAGGUGCAGAACGGGAUGAGAAACUCUGAAAGUUGAAACUUGAUUUUGAAGCCAAAUACGCCUUCUAUAUUGGACAUUCACUAAUAAAGUUUCAAGACAGGAAAGCGGUGGUGGCCCCGUACCACUUUGGGUAAGUGUGAGUUUACAAAUAUCUAUCUAAAUUAUUUCUAUGCAUAAAUGCAUCAUGGAUUUAAUUCGAGCAGGAGGCACUGUAUAUGCUUCAUCAUUUAUCCCAAGGAGGGAAGGGUGUUGGUACUAGACUCCGCAGAUUACCCAAAAGAAAGCUAUGCUCCAUUCAUCAAACUGCUAGAGCUGUAAGUCAAGCUAUGCAUGCAUACUUAAGCAUAGUGAGAAUUUGACAAUAACAUGGUGAUUCUAUUUGAGAUCAUAGGGCAUACAGGUUCUAUUAGAUAAAUCAUGGAAAGUGCGAGUCCAAGAGACCAGGGCAACCAUUGGAGGUUAUACAUAACUGACCGGUACGUAUAAAAAUUUACUAUUAUGAAUACAAAUCAUACACAUACGACCACAAUUGCAACUAUAAUUAAAUAACCACUCUCCUGUUAUACAGUGCAUGAAGCAACCACCGUUAUCUGUCCUCUGUGGCUACUACGUGUGCGAGAACAUGAGAGAAAACGGACGAUAUGCAAGGAACCCUGACAAGGUAAUAUAAGUAAUAGUCUAUUAAAGUUAGAAGUCAUAAAAUAUAUAAUGUUUAUAAACUUUCUUUGCAGGUAUAUAAGCAAGGGACGGCGGAGCGCAUGGACGAACGUGCUUUAGACAACAUAGUUGAGGACAUCUGCUCGUUCAUCAUGAAGCAUGUCAUUCCACGUGAAGGCAAAUAUCAUGACGAUGAAAGCCAAUUAUCCAGGCCAGAGUUCCGAGUGCUAACAGAGAUUAGUAAGCUCAAACUUACUAAAGAGGGUUAUUAGAGGACACAAACAAACUUUGAUGUAUAUAUAUAUAUGAUGUGUGAUGAUGGAUAUACUCUUGUAAUUAACUUUAUGUCUUUGAGCACCAAACUUUGAUGUAUACAAAUGUAUGUAUGAGAUGAAGUAUUUAAAUUACAUGUUGCUAUGUUAGAAGACCAACCAAUAUCAAUAUAUUUAAAUAAUAACAAUAAAAUAAUAAAUAAAUAAAUAAAUAGAUAAAUUAAUAAAUAAAUAAAUAAUACAUAUUUUAAUAGGUUUACACAGGCGGCUCUCUUAGGAAACCGCCUGUGUAAAUGAACAUUUACACAGGCGGUUCUCUAAGAGAGCCGCCUGUGUAAAAGGUUUCUACUUGCGGCUCUGUGGAAAUGGACGAUUUCUACUGACCUCCAGCGCAGGCGGAUCCGAAAAACGCCUGUAGAAAUAUGUUACCAACCACCUGUAUAGUGUGCCAAUGUACUAGUGUCAGCAAGAGUUACAAUUUUUAUUUCUAAAAUCUAUUUAUCUAACACCAUAUUUUUUCUAAUACGAUAAGCCCAAGAGCACGAUUAAUAUACUGCUCAAACUUUAUAUAAUUUUUUGAGCAUUUUAACAGUCUCAAAUGAAAAAAAAAAUUAAAACUAGAAAAUUUUGGAAUUCAUCGAAAGCUAAAGUUUUCAUAUAAAAACCAUCUUCAUUCAAGGUCAUAUUAAAAGAGUGUGAUUAUUUAAUAUAGAGAUUUGUCGUUGACAUAUGGGUCCCAUAUGUCAGAUCCAUGCUACGUAGGAUAACAAGUUGGGGUAAACGUCCAUCUGAACUUGGAUGAGACCCGUUGCAACUUCAGAAAGCAAAAAAUAUAUUUUGAAACUUUCGGAAUUUAGAGGAUGAGUAUUAUUGUUCUUAUUUUUUAGGUUGCAACACUACUACAACAUUCUUUUACUGAGGCGGGCAAAAACAAUUAACUGAUGCGGUUUUUGCAACCACCUUGAUGAGAAGGUCACGAUAAAUGUGAUAUUUUCCGAGGUGGUUUCUUGCUUGCCACAGUAAUUCAGAUAAAAAAAAUUGAAAUAACCUAGAUCCAGCUCUAACUGGAUUUGGUACUGGCUCUACAGCCCCUGCGUGCCACCGUCGCCAGGGGCAGCCAUGACUGCUUCUUUCUAAGUCCGUGAGAAGGAGAGCUGUCGUGAUCCGGCCUCCACUCUACCGUCGGAGCUGAAAGGGGAGGAGAAGGAGCGUCGCCAUGGGGAAGCUAGAUCUAGCCUCCCCACCACUAGAUCCGGCCUCCACGUCGCCGUCGACGCAAAAAAGGGAGGAGCACUGUCAUAGGGAGCAGGCGUCGGGUAUUGGGUGAGGGAGAAGUGAAUAGGCGUCGGAGCUGCCGCCGAAGCUCAUGGAUCCACUCAAUCAGCCGUCGGCACAUGUGGAUCCGUUGUAGGCCUCUGCCAUCAGAGCUCGCAGUGCACGAUGCUGGGUCAUGUGACCCCCACCGCGUAGCACGCGACACCCGCCACUAGGGCGCGCAAUCGCUGCCGCUAGAGCUCGGAGCCGCAGAGAGAGAGAGAGAGAGAGUUGGGGAAGGAGAGCGGAGUGGGGGAGGGAGCAUAUGAGAGAGGAGUGUUGCGGUCGAGUAGGAAAGGAGGAGGGCCACGGGGGAGAAGGUGCCGCUCGAUCUGCUGAGGAGGGAGAGGUUGAAGGAGAGGAAGUGAAAUGAGUUAAAUGGGUUACCGGGUCUUGCAUGGGCUAGCUGGGCCUCGUCCUUUUUUGAGACGGACCUUAUAACUUGCCACCUCAGUUCAUAGGUAUUAACCGAGACGAUUCUGUUAUAUUGCAUGCCUCGGCUAAUAGAUUUUAUGAAAAGAUUUUUUAUUGCCUCGGUAAAUCUAGGUAUUAAUAGAGGCGGUUGAAAAUGUUUUAUGUCCAGCAGAUUGUGUGGAUGGAUGGAUCGAAUCUGCAUGAAAGGAGUAAGUCCUCUCCCCCUCCUAUUUGCAGCACGACAACGCCAUACCACAUGUCUACGUAUUCAUCAGCCCUUGCCAGGAAUAUGAUGUCGUCGUCGUCGUCGUCUACGUAUCAUCCAAUCUACCAUUUCUGAUCAGACUUGCUUAUACUUACUAGUCGCUUUGUCUGCUACCUUCGUCUUCAUCUCUAUACGUAUGGUGCUGUGCAAUUGCAUUAUUUUGCUUCUGUGUCGUCUGUGCUCAGCUGCCGACCGGCCGGCGAACAGAUUUCAGAAACCAAUACGGCCUGUUCAUCUCUCUUCGUCAACAAAUAUAAUUAAUUGGAGUCUGUCCUUGAUAGUGUGAAUGGUUACUACAGGAGAAUACCAUGCAUUACUUCGAAAUAUAAUUAACUGGAUGUUGAUAGAAGAAUAACAGAGUUUUUGUUUUCUCAGAAAACAGGUACAUUUACAUUUUCCGAUUUUUUUUAUACUGAAUUCACUACCGGAAUCCGGCUCUUUGCCGAGUGUCUAAUGGUUUACCGAGUGUUUUUUUUCGGGCACUCGGCAAAAAAAACACUCGGCAAAGAGGGUACUCACUACUGGAUACUGCUAAUUCGCCGAGCGUCAAAAACCGUCGGCGAAGCGCCCAAAACCGUCGGCGAAAGCUUCGCCGAGCGUGACCAUCGGCGAAGCUCGCUCGGGGAAUUUGCUGUCGGCGUAGACGCUCUUCGCCGAGAGCCGGAUCACGGGCUGUCGGCGAACGUUCGCCGAGGGUCAAGCCCCCACUCGGCGACACUUUGACGCCGUCACGGCGCUGGUUCACGGUGACGGCUGCUUCGCCGACGGCCACCGGCAACGCUCGGCGAACCUCCGGGUUUUUUUUAUUUUCUUUUUUUCUCUGCCAAAACUCUUCGCCGACAGCCUUAAAUUCCUCUCGGCGAACCGAUCGCCUUCGCCGAGCGCUAUGGCCGUUGCGCUCGGCGAAGCUGGGAACCUGGGAGAUUUGGCCGUUGUGCUGCCUCCAGCUUUGCCGAGCGCAACGGCCAUAGCGCUCGGCGAACAUGCCCUUUGCCGAGCGGUGCGCUCGGCGAAGCUGGGAACAGUUUUUUUUUGAAUUGUUUUCUUCCUUUUUGGACAUCACCAAUGCAUAGAAACCAUAUAUAUAUACCCCACAUCAUAUAUAUCAUCAUAACCACUGAAAUAUUGUUGACACUUCUUAACGCAACCACGGGAUAUCGGCGACGGCGCCAGAAGUGCCCUGGUAGGGUAACUCUAUUUACUAUUGGAUAAUUCCGCAAGCGCACAGAAUGUACCGCUGUAGCACUUCACCAAGGAGUAUUCCAAGGUAUCGUAAUUUAUAUUUUCCCAAGGAAAAGCGGCUAAGUGUGUUUAACAAAAAGGGGAAUGAGAUUCCUUGAGUUAUCUAGUAUCAACUAGUGAAUAAGGGUGGUAAAUAACGAAUAGGAAGGGUAGUGGUGAAUCCAAGGUCCUAUGCUAAAGGUAAAUGGUAGAGUUAGCUAGGUGGGAGGACAACGAGUGAGUAAAGGACUCCUAUGUAUCUAACUUGACUUCUGUGACUUACUUUAAUAGAUAAUUGUCUUAACUACGCUAGAGCCUUACUAACUGUGUGCGAGGGAUAGCCGAGCUGGUAAGACGCUUAGAAGGUUUUUCACCUAACCCCUUACCGAAAGCGACUAUUGGGCUUAUGGACGCCUUACCUUUUAAGAACUAGCCUGUACGUGAGGAGAACCUAAUGCCGCCCACGAUCUGUCACCUACUAGGGAGUGCGCUCCUACUUUCCGUUCAAGCCAGCGGUAAUCAAAGGUAAUCUUAAGUAUGAGCACCACGCUCACACUUAAUCCUACAACGCUAACUAGUUGCAGCUAGCUAGAGCUCCUAUACAAGAUAGGACGAUGAUGCACACACAGGAGUGGUUACAGGUCACUAACUUCACUAAGACAACUAUAUUACUAAAGUAAAUGCACAACAAGACUAAAAGACUUGCACUAAGUAAGAACUCAGUAAAGUAAAGUAAGAAUAAUAUAUUAAUAAAAGGAAAGUCUUACAAAAGUAGAAAGGUACAAGAGCUAUACCAGACUCUCCAGAAGACGACUCCGGAGACCCCGAGCUUCGCUCGACUCGACUCUAACUCCCACUCUAGACUAACUACUACUCUACUUGUAUGCUUGGAACUUGUAAUGCACUUGGCCUUGGAAUUGCACACUUGAAAUGAAGGAUGGAGGCUGCCUUUUAUAGAGGGAGAUGGAGUAGGGGUUACUCCAUCGCCACGUCAUCGAUCCGCGUGACAUCUUCUCUCCACCCUUGGAUCAAACCGACCUCACAACCGCCAUUUGAUCAACGGCAGGGGCAAAUCAACAUGUGGGACAUGUGGGGAAGGUCGGUGGGAGGCCACCGACCCUGGAACCGCCUUUGAUGUGGGGUCGGGCGACCCCACUUCUGGGCCUCUGGGCCCACCAGCAGUGUCCACAGGGGUCCCUUAUGUCGGUGGACUAGGUGGCACACCUGGGUCCCACCAAAGAGGGGUCGGGCGACCCCCUCCCUGUGGGCCCAGGGUGUCACCUGUUGUCCCCUCGAUCUCCUCUUGAUGAUUCUGAUGUUGGCUUUGUCAAAUAAUGUCUUGAAUUUGUUGUUCCUGCAUAAACAAGCUAAGAGUACAAGUGGAACUAGUUAUGGAUAAAAUAUGUUCAUGUCAUGUCGUUUCCUCUUGCAACCGAGGCAUGUUGACGGUGUUUUGUAUGUGGAUUUCUAUGGUAUAUCCACCGUCAACAAGCUCCCCCAAGCUUAACCUUUGCUCGUCCCGAGCAAACAAUCAAACUUAGCCUCGGUGGAUCAGGUAUUGUUACUAUGUUCACAUUUCAAGAGUACCAUGUGUACAACAAAGUUCUUCUCUUUGCAUGAAAAAUUUAGCUAUGUAAACUUACCCCUAUUACCUUAGUCCCUUAUGGGGCUUAUGGCUUUUCCUUUGUCUUAGGUGGUUGAGAGACAGAACAGUUUGACUUGAGCACUAACUUUCUCAUUCUUAGCAAGUUUCAUAUCAGAGGUUUUGUGAUAUUUUCAAAAGAAAGCUUAAAUGUUCCUCUUAUGGUUCUCUCAUGUCACUCAAAUGGUGUAUGAUUCCUCACCAAGGCAUAUGGUAAGAGUUGCCUUCUCUAUUUCAUCCUAUUUCUAAAAGGCUUAUGUGGAGUUCAAGGUAGGGAUGAAAGGAGAUAGCAUACUUACUUUGCAUGUAUUGCGAAGUCAAAGCUCGGAUCCUUGAAGAGAAGUGUCAUACUCCCAGAUCAAGAUGUGCAAGUGUGAUAUAUGGUGGACUAGGUUGCUCCUUUAUUUGAUAGACUCUCUAUGUAUUGAGACAUGGCUAGCAUUUUUUUCUUCUUUUUUUUAUAUAUGAGCUUUCAUGUGCUCAAUUUUCUUUUUCUGUGGACUUGCACAUGUCCAUCUUUUUAUUUCAUUUUGCCUAGCCCUUUUGAUGUCUCAUUUACCAAAUAAUGCUUAGAGAGAUGUUCUAACAUUUAGAGUAUGGAGCAACCUAUUUAGUGGAUGCGAAAUACAUGUGGUUGCGUACUUCCAGUGUAGAAGCAGCAUAUAUAUAUGUGGUGUGUACGUGAUCUUGAUCUUAGGAGCAUGAAAAGUCUCUUAACAAGGGUCAACAAGACUUGACGACACUCAACACAAAGCAAAUAGCUUAUGUGGAAAGGUUGCAAUUAUGUAAAGUAGAUAUGGCUGUGGUAGGAAUUCAUCACCAUUGAGGAACAAUUAAGGUUUUGAUCAUUUUAAGAAUAAAUCUCUGAUAAUCAUGCAUGCUUAGAAAAAUAUUAUAGUAGCUCUUGUCUUACUAUCUCAUGUCCCACAACAACUUAGACUUAGUUCUAGCACUUGCAACCCACAAAGUUUUUAGGUUCAUGGCAGUUUAAGUGAGCUAAGUGAUCCAUACUUAGAGAAAUACUAAGUUGUAUACUAGGCACUAGAGAAACAUUAACAAGCAACUAGUCAUAAUUUCCAUGAGGGAUAUAAACAUACAUGAAGCAUAUAUGCUAAAGGGAAAUGCUAAUAAAUAUUUAUUUUUUUUUUAAGUAAGAAUGAUAAAAUGCAUGAAAAUAAAUAGGAUAGAAUACUUACCUUAGUGGGGGAGAGGAUCUCCCCCAAGCUAGAUCUUCGCUCACUGUGGUGGCGGGAAAUUCUGGUACCAUCCGGCCCAGCGUUGUGCGUCUUCCUCUCGCACACUUCGGAUAUGUUGGCCGUUUUGUAACGCCAGUUGCAAUGUUGCUUCUUGCCCAAUCUGCAAUUCGCCCAUGUCAUUAAUGAGACUGUCCAUACCUGUGGGCUGGUGACGCCUAGCCCUGUCCCUUGGGCGUGGAGUGCGUUGUGGAGGUAGACCCAUGGAGUCUGAAGCAUCCACUGACAUCGCUUCAUCGCCCUCUUCAACGUCAUGGUGCGAGGAUCCUCCUUGCUCCAUCUGGGCGGCUUGCAUCAUCCUUCUUGUCACCCUGCGUGUCCCUGCAACAUCUGGACUUGCCACUCGGGCUAGUCUAAUGGUAAGUGUGCGGACCCCAUACAACCGGCGCCUCGCACAUGGGAGAGGAAUUUCGGUUGUAUAGCCCGGAUAAAUCAUUUUAAGUUCACCAUUUGGAUCUCUUAUGAGCAUGUUAGCAUUGAUAAAGAAGUUCUCAUCUACCACUCCUCUAACAUAGCCAAUGUCUUCAAAAUAAUGUGAUUCAAGUAAUCCAAAAGUAUCGGCUAUUCGAGUAAUAAAGGAUGUGAAAUAGAUGGGCUUCCCAUACUCAAUAGAGUUAAGCCAAUAGUUCACUAGCAGUUUCACAGGGGAGACCUUGAUUUUACUAACCAUGGCAUAGAGAAUUUUAAGUUCAUCAUCAAUUAAAGUAUCAGUUCCCAUGCCAGGAUAUAGAGUGCACAUGAUCCAGAAGUGAAGAAAGCGCAAGGUUGGAUUAUGGAUUUCAAUGGGAGUAGGAUUUGAACAAUCAUUAGAGCCAGAAAUUGCUUUCCAGAAUCUAAAUUUAUCGAACAUUCUAGUGGCAUGAUCUAGAUCAAGUUCACAUUCAUGUUCACACCCUAAAGCAGUGUUUAGAAAACUCCAAUUUAAUUGAUGUUCUUGCUCACACAUGCGAAAAGAUAUUCCAUUAUUUGUGAGUUUUAGGGUGCAUAGAAAUUCCUUAGCAAGCAAUUCUUUUCGAAAUUCAGGCACUUGCCAAAAAACUACUCCAACCAAUUGCUCUAAACACCUUAUCGAAUUCAACAUCCAUACCUGUGCGGGCCAAAAGGUCCGGAUCGAUGAUGCUAGUGUGUAGGAAGAGACCCUCUCGGAUGAUGUAGUACCUUUGCAACUCUUCUUGGCUUAACAUGAGGCCGCUCUCGGGCUCUCUCAUCCUUGAUGGAGGCUCGUAGGGUACCAUCCCAUGGUAACCUUCUUCUUCCUCCCUUCCAUGAGCAUGGUGAGAGCCUUGAGAAGAGCUCUCACCCUUUGCUUUCUUGAACUUGCCGAAGAUAUGCUUCUUCAUCCUCCUACACAAGUGAGGCAAACCAAGCUCCUACUACUACUACUAUGCAAGGGGAAUCUUUUUGGGUUUUUGUUUUGAUGACUAUUUCUAAACUAAACUUGAGAAAUGGCUUGUAACAAAGAGAGAAGAGAAAGGAUUGUGAGCUCGAAAUGGUUCUGGUGGUUUUGGGUGUGGAGUUGAGCUCACAAUGCUGUGGUAUUUAUAGGGGGAGAAGGGCAAGUAGUGGACCCACAAUAUAGGGGUCGGCCGACCCCCCCUAGAAGCACUUUGAAUUUGAGUUUAGCUUUAUACAGGGAACCAUUCUGCAUGCUUUCAAGAUUUUGCAGAGAUGGUCCAAAAUGGGGGUCGGCCGACCCCCAUCCUAGCCCCUCCUCCACUUUAAACAUUGUGUCAUUGAUUGUCCGGAAAAGUAAAGGCUAGGUGUGGACCAAAAGUUUUCAAAUUGUUUCUGAGAUUCCCUGUUUUAGUGCUUUGUGAAAGGUAAAAGAUGAAUGGCAAAAGUGGAGACAUGUCUAAAGUGAUUCCUAUGGACCAUGGGAGCACUCAAGCAUGCCUAGGUGACCACUUUGCAGAAUUUAAGCUAGUGGAGUGGUCCCAAAUGAAUCAAAGAUGAAAGGAGCAUCUUAUGACUAAAGUAAAGGAUCAAGGGACCACUCUUUUUCAAACUUUAGCUAGUGUUACAAGCAUAGGACUCCAUUGUGAUUCAAAUGGUGGCCAGCAGGAGGCAAGUGGGGCCAAUAUGGGGGUCGGCCGACCCCCACAUUGGAGCUCCCAGAGCAUCCAAGUGCUGGGUUGGAACCUCUAUGACUAGCAAGGUUGAAAUGUGGUGAAGUGGGCCCCAAGGUGGGGUCGGGCGACCCCCCUUUGGGAGCUCCAGCAGCUCAAAUUUUUAUGACAAGUUAUUCUCAAGAUUUUAUUUAUUAUGGCUAAACAUUUUGUCGAAAUAAGAUAUGCAAAAUUCAAAGUAAGAAUGCAAUUGAAAAGUGAAUAGUAGAAAUUGAAAUGCAGAAAAUAAAUAUGGGAUAACUACUGAUUUACCUUAUCAGCAAGGGCUCCAUGUUUUAGGUCCGUAGAGCAGGACCUCUCCAUCUUGUUCAUCCUUCGGGUGCAUCAGAUGGUCCCGGAGACGUGGACCUUGAUUGCACCUCUUUCUCCCGCCAUACUUGCUUGGUAUUGAUUUUUGGUUCAGCGGGUUCCUCUUCUUUCUUUUCGGCCCUUUUGGCCGAAUUACCUCUCUUGUCCCUUCGGCGUCGGAUGUGGUGAGGCUUAGUCGGAGGUUCUUUGUCCUUCACCUGCAUGUUAGCUUUAUAACCAUUGAAUGGACAUUUUACCUUCCAUCCUGGGAAUUGGAGGUGAAUCUGGCCGGACCCCACAUAGAUGACUGCAUUGACCGUGUUGAGGAAUGGCCUUCCCAAGAUGAUCGAGACAUCAUUAUUGGAUCCCAUAUCCAAAAUGAUGAAGUCGGCAGGGACGUAGUCGUCUUGGACCUUUACCAGUAUGUCCCUUGCCAACCCCUCAGGGAACCUGAUCGUCUGAUCUGCCAUCUGCAAACGAACAAAUGUGGGGUGCAAAGGCCCCCCUAGCAAAUUAUCAUAAGUUACCUUGGCCAUGAUGUUGACACCCGAUCCAAGGUCGCAGAAGGCGUUGUGGAAGAUUUGCGGUCCGAUCUCACAGGUGAUGGUCGGCAGGCCUGGGUCGUCCUUCUUGGUGAUGAAGGGCGAAUCCAGAAGAUAGCUCCAGUUGGAUUGUACCGGAGGCUUACCGAACCUCGUAGUAACUAGUUUAACUCCUUCAAUUGGGUCCUCAGGUUUCCCUGGGAUCUUACCUUGCUCGAAGGAUGGGACAGCUGCUGCUAAUUGAGCUAAUUGUGUUUCUAGCAUUUUGUUAAAGCUCAACUGAUUUUUCAUAGCAGAGUUAAAGCUAUCCAACUUUUCACUUAAGUUUUCAAGGAUCUUAUCAUUAGCCAUCAUUUUCUUGUUAAUGCUAUCAUUGAUUUUAGAUUGGCCUAAGACAAGAUCUCUAAGAGAAGGUUGGUUACCAAAAGAAUUAUUGAAAUUUUGAUUGUAACCAUUACCUUGAUUACCUUGGUAGAAGGGGCGCGAGUUCCAUUGCUGUUGUUGGGGCCGGUACCCAUUGUUGUUGUUGUUGAUGAAGCUCACUUCCUCCUUUGUUUCGGGACAAUUGUUUCCCGAAUGAUCAUCUCCUCCGCACACUUCGCACCAUGAAUCAGAUUCAAUGGCUCGUGCAGUGGCGUAAGGUUGAAUGGUCUCUUGCUUGGAACUUUCUUCCAUCUUCUUCGUUAAGGGGUCCAUCUUAGCAGAGAGCAUGUCCACCUCAUUCAAGGCAUGGACACCUCUUCUCUUGGGUUGGAGGCGUUCCUCAUUCCAUCCUUGGUUUAUAACCAUCUUUUCAAUGAGGUCCUUGGCAUCCUUGACAUUGUGUUGCAAGAAUGCUCCUCUAGCGGCAGCAUCAAGGUGACUACGGGCCAAACCGGUCAGGCCAUGGUAGAAACCUUGGAUUAGGAGCCACUCCUCUAUCCCAUGAUGAGGACAGGCGCGAAUGUACUCCUGCAGACGUUCCCAUGCUUCGGGAAUCGUCUCAUCCGCUUGCUGUUGGAAGCUGGAAAUCUUUCCACGAAGGGCGCUGGUCUUGCCCAUCGGAAAGAACUUCUUGAGAAAUGCAUUGGCGCACCUCUCCCACGUGGUCACUUCACCCUUGUUGGCGUAGAACCAUUGCUUCGCCUUCCCCAAUAACGAGAAUGGGAAGAGGCGAAGACGGAUGGCGUCUGCGGCGACAUUCUUGAUGGUGAAGGUGCCGCACACCUCCAAGAAGUGUUGGAGAUGGGCAUUGGCAUCCUCGUGUGGCUUUCCACAGAAGGGAUUAGCUUGCACCAUAUUGAUAAGCGCAGGCUUCAACUCAAAAGUCGCAUCCCCUAAGUUAAGCUGCGGACCCGUGGCGACAUUGUCAGCCGACGGCGCAGAGUACUCAGAGAUGGUCUUCUGGGCCAUAGCUUCUUUGAUAACCGGUGCAGAUACUCCUUCCUCUAACGGAUUCAGGUUCGAGAUGAACCUUUGAGGUGGAACUUGACGACGUCUAGUUCUCCUCAACAGUUGCUCAGGAUCUUCAACGAAGUUUGACGGCAAUUGGAAACCGCUCAUACACUGUCAGGCUUCACAAUAAAGGAAGACAAGACAAGUGAUGGGUUAUCCCUAUCACUACUUGAUAACUAGCAAACUCUGGAUUCUCUUUUUGUUAAAACUCUUAGACAGACGCUCUCCCAAGCAACGGCGCCAGAAAUGCUUGUUGACACUUCUUAACGCAACCACCGGAUAUCGGCGACGGCGCCAGAAGUGCCCUGGUAGGGUAACUCUAUUUACUAUUGGAUAAUUCCGCAAGCGCACAGAAUGUACCGCUGUAGCACUUCACCAAGGAGUAUUCCAAGGUAUCGUAAUUUAUAUUUUCCCAAGGGAAAGCGGCUAAGUGUGUUUAACAAAAAGGGGAAUGAGAUUCCUUGAGUUAUCUAGUAUCAACUAGUGAAUAAGGGUGGUAAAUAACGAAUAGGAAGGGUAGUGGUGAAUCCAAGGUCCUAUGCUAAAGGUAAAUGGUAGAGUUAGCUAGGUGGGAGGACAACGAGUGAGUAAAGGACUCCUAUGUAUCUAACUUGACUUCUGUGACUUACUUUAAUAGAUAAUUGUCUUAACUACGCUAGAGCCUUACUAACUGUGUGCGAGGGAUAGCCGAGCUGGUAAGACGCUUAGAAGGUUUUUCACCUAACCCCUUACCGAAAGCGACUAUUGGGCUUAUGGACGCCUUACCUUUUAAGAACUAGCCUGUACGUGAGGAGAACCUAAUGCCGCCCACGAUCUGUCACCUACUAGGGAGUGCGCUCCUACUUUCCGUUCAAGCCAGCGGUAAUCAAAGGUAAUCUUAAGUAUGAGCACCACGCUCACACUUAAUCCUACAACGCUAACUAGUUGCAGCUAGCUAGAGCUCCUAUACAAGAUAGGACGAUGAUGCACACACAGGAGUGGUUACAGGUCACUAACUUCACUAAGACAACUAUAUUACUAAAGUAAAUGCACAACAAGACUAAAAGACUUGCACUAAGUAAGAACUCAGUAAAGUAAAGUAAGAAUAAUAUAUUAAUAAAAGGAAAGUCUUACAAAAGUAGAAAGGUACAAGAGCUAUACCAGACUCUCCAGAAGACGACUCCGGAGACCCCGAGCUUCGCUCGACUCGACUCUAACUCCCACUCUAGACUAACUACUACUCUACUUGUAUGCUUGGAACUUGUAAUGCACUUGGCCUUGGAAUUGCACACUUGAAAUGAAGGAUGGAGGCUGCCUUUUAUAGAGGGAGAUGGAGUAGGGGUUACUCCAUCGCCACGUCAUCGAUCCGCGUGACAUCUUCUCUCCACCCUUGGAUCAAACCGACCUCACAACCGCCAUUUGAUCAACGGCAGGGGCAAAUCAACAUGUGGGACAUGUGGGGAAGGUCGGUGGGAGGCCACCGACCCUGGAACCGCCUUUGAUGUGGGGUCGGGCGACCCCACUUCUGGGCCUCUGGGCCCACCAGCAGUGUCCACAGGGGUCCCUUAUGUCGGUGGACUAGGUGGCACACCUGGGUCCCACCAAAGAGGGGUCGGGCGACCCCCUCCCUGUGGGCCCAGGGUGUCACCUGUUGUCCCCUCGAUCUCCUCUUGAUGAUUCUGAUGUUGGCUUUGUCAAAUAAUGUCUUGAAUUUGUUGUUCCUGCAUAAACAAGCUAAGAGUACAAGUGGAACUAGUUAUGGAUAAAAUAUGUUCAUGUCAUGUCGUUUCCUCUUGCAACCGAGGCAUGUUGACGGUGUUUUGUAUGUGGAUUUCUAUGGUAUAUCCACCGUCAACAAAUAUCACAUAAAUCAUCACAUACACAUCAACAUCACAUGAAUAUCAUACAUAAGUUCACCAUGGGCAUAAGUUCAUCACAACCAUAAGUUCACAUACAUAAGUCCACGACGACAAGUGAUAUACAUACAUAAGUUCAUCAUCACAACCAUAAGUUCAACAGAAACAUAAGGUCGACACGUCCAUCACGACAUAAAGUCCAUCACAAAGGCAAGAGAAGGACCUACUUAGUGCGUCCACGCUGGCCACGACGACGGUGAAGGAUUGCCUGUACCAGGCUGCUGCUGGUUCGGGUUAUUAGAACCCACGGACUGAGGCUGCACGAAGUAGGAGAUUGAUCGUGAGAUAAUCCAAACAGAACCGGAAUUGAGAUGACAUGAACCAUGUUACUCACAGGAGUGCCUAAGUGGAGCUGGUGCUGAGGCUGAGACGGCUGCGGUGUCGGCGAAGGAGUAGGUUCGGCGAGCAGAUCAUCCACCGAUACCCCACAGUGAUGGCCCAUCCUGGCGACGAUCUGGAUCAACUGCGCCACCCGCCUAUCCUGGACUGCCCGCUCGGCCCUCUCGGCAGCUAGCUGGGCCUCGAUGUCCAUGGAUCGCUGAUCCGCUGCCAACACUCGUGCCUACAGAGUAGAUGUCAGUAUAGGUCGGUACGUAUGUAUGUACAAAGAAUGGAACAGAAAUAACCUCGAGUGCCUCGACACGCUGCUGUGAAGGAGUCGUCCGUUGGCGUAUGGGGACGCUGUCGUCCGUGCUAGCUGCUCGGAUCUGGGAGAGAGUGGGAGUGGAGGCGGUGUCGAUGACGGAGUCCGCAAUCCAGUACCGUCCGUGCUUCUUGCCUCCGCCUAGCCUCAUCACGAGCUCGGUGUCGAGCUCGUUCCUGGUCGGAUCCCACUCUGGCCCAUGGACCGACCUUCCCGCCUCCGUGUACUCAGAGAGACGGGAGUGCACACUCGCGUUGGUGUACACCUCGGGCGGGUCGCUCGGGUUGUAGGAGACAGAGGACGAGGCCUUCCCCUUGUGGGCCAUGGCGUAGGCCGUGAACUCGUUCACCUCCUGGCCUGGGUGUGCAGCUGCCUGCAAGGAAGACAUCAAGAAGGUUACAAGUAAUGCAGACUUAAGGGUUAGCAUAAAAAAUGAGUUCUCAUACAUAUGCUUGGGCGUAGGCGGCGAGGUUGCGGCUGCCUUGGUGGUGCGAGACACCUGUCAUCAUCAUGCGUCGGCCGCGUGCCUCCUGGUGCUGCGCGGCCCAAUCCUCAGAUAGCCACUUGUCCACGAUCCUCUCCCAACAAUCAGGGAAGGCCUGACACCAAGGUAGGAUCAUCUGCACAUGAACAAACACAAACACCAAGGUAAGAUCAAAUCAUAGUAACUCAUUAUAAAAACGAAUCCAUGGAAAGGUUCGAUGGCGACCUGUAUGUACUCGUCCCGGGUCAGCUGCAUGGUCCUAGCGUCUUCCUUGGUGAUCUUCUCUCCAAGGAUGGCGCGGUGCCAGUUCACUAUGCACUGGAGACGCCCCUCAUGGUGCAAUUGCACGACUAGUUUCUUGCAGGAUUUGGUGACCACCAACUCCGCCGCCGCCUGCGUUCCCUCCUCGAAUUUGUAGUAGUUCAGUUCUACACACAUAAAUAGGCAAAGAAGGCAUUAAUGAUUUCAAUUACAAUACAAUGCAUGGAUGUGACUUAGUUCCAAGAAGACUUACCAAGAGCUCACCCCUCACCCGCUGGGCCUUGUUGCCAUACUGGGGGUCAGAGGCCGCGGCGUAGUGGUCAAACGUGUAGGUCGGCUCCCUCACACUAGCCAGCUGCACUAGGCCAGGGUAGUUGUUGCGAACCAGAAGACCCAGGAUGUGGUUCACGGGACGCCCUUGCCCCUGCACAAACACCCAGUUCCUGCAAAAACUAUUAAAAACAAAUAUUAUAAUUUGUAAGUAAUAUUGUAAACAUAGCAUACGAAUUAGUUUGGAAGUAAACUUACUUGGCCCCUAGAGGGCGGAUCGUCGGCCGUCGAUCCUCAGCUACCGCGAACCGCGGGAGGCUCGAGGGGCCUCUCAAGUAGGGCCGCUGCUGUGGACCAAAACCAGAGGCACCGGACCCCUCCCCCACGUCGGCCCCGCACCCCUGGGUGUCCAGGUCGUCGUCCUGCCCGCCUCCCUCGUGGGUGUCCUGGUCGGGGUCCUGCCCGCCUCCCUCGUGGGUGUCCUGUUGGGUGUCCUGGUCGGGGUCCUGACCCCCCUCGUCGUCCUGGGGGGGAGGAGGAGCAGGAGUAGGACUAGGAGGAGGAACAGGCUGCCUCCCUGCCCCCCUGGCCCUUCGGGUGCUCCUCCCCCUCCUCGGCGGCCGCCCUCCCGACAGGUCCACGUCCUCGUCCGCCGAAGGAGCUGAAGCCCGGUACAGCGUGUGCAACGACCUUUGUCGCCCGCCACCCGGCAUCUUCCUUCGAUCACCUGCAGUUACAAACAACAAACAAAUAUUGUAUUAGAAAUAACAUAAUAGCAAAAUGAAUAAAACAUAAUUACAUAGAUGCAAAAUGAGUUACAUAGUAUUACAUGUACUAGAAAUAUUCUUCAGGAUCUGGAUUAGCUGGAUUAUAAGACUCAUCAUCACUAUCAACCAUGUCGAACGGUUCGUCGGAAACCACAGGAAUAUUCUCUGAGUUGUCAUUUUCUAAACUUAAUCGAUUUAGCAUUUCUAGGUCCCUCUGGUCUUGCACCUCAUCUCCCGCAUCCUCGUCAACAACCACAGCUUGCAUCUCAUCUUCCAUUCCCAUCGGUUGGGUUAUGUCUACCACGAGGGUCCCUUGCAGCCCAUCUUCUUGAAAGAACUCUCUGGCAUAUGUGUUUGGGUUAAAGUUGUAAUCUUCGUCAUUUGGGACAGGUAGUUUAGCACGCGGAGAUAUCUUGUGCACCAUAUACCAACCCAAAAGAUUUCUCACUUUUUUGCACGGGUAUGGAGUAUAAUAAACCCGUGUGGCUUGUUGAGACACGAUGUAUACAUCGUCUUGUGUAUAGACGGAAUCCUGUCGAAUUUCCACUAGCCCAAGUUGAGGGGUCUGUCUCGUGACUCUAGGAUCAAACCAAUGGCAUUUGAAUAUAACGGGCUGAAGGGGUUUGGCACCAUGAAAUGAAAGUUCGUAUAUUUCUUCCACUUUUCCAUAAUAGUCGAGUUCAUCAGUUCCCUGAGUAAAAACUCCGCUAUUUGUGGUCUUUCGAUUGGGUCGAGUCUGCUCGUAGCUUGAUGUGUGAAAGCGAUAUCCAUUGACAUCAUAACCGGUGUAUGACUUGACCCGUGGGUCAAAACCGCCUGCAACCUGUCUCAAUUCGUCACUCAUAGACAAAUCGGUUUGGGCCUGCAAAAGCAACAUAGGUUAGCAAAAGCAAGUACAAGCUCAAUAUCGAGCUAAGUACGAGCUAAUCUGUACAUUACCUUUUGUUUAAACCAAGAAAUGAAAUUGGGCCUUCCUUCUCCCGCACCUUGUGAAACUAGAAUAUCACACUCUUGGGCGGUAGGCUCCCUCCUUGGUUCAUUCCAGAAUUGACGAAUAAAUUGCCCAAUGUAUGUUUGAACCUCGUUAAGGUUCGUCAACACAUACAACAUGAUAUUGCGCCACUCAUCAUUUGUCAACAUCUUAGAGGUCGAUCCGCUUGCACUUCCGAGUUGGCCUCGAAAAAGGCUAAGGUUCGACUCACCUUCACUAGCAUUGUAUCGAGGUGGUGGAUUAUGGACGCUAGGAAGGUUCUCAGAGUAGUAUGUUGUUGUGAAGUUGGACACCUCCUCCAAAAUGCAUGCCUCUGCAACUGAAGCCUCGAUUUUGGCUUUAUUUCUACAUUUUUUGCGAAGAAUCUUCAGGCCUCUCUCGACUGGAUAACACCAACGAAACGUGACAGGGCCCCCCAUUCGAGCCUCAUACGGGAGGUGCAAGAUCAAAUGCUGCAUCGGAGUGAAAAACCCGGGUGGAAAUAUCUUUUCCAUCUUACAAAGCAACACAGGUGCCACUUUUUCCAAAUUCUUAAUGACUUGUCGAGAUACCUCUUUGGCACAAAGCUGGCGAAAGAAAAAGCUCAACUCCGCCAGCACUUGCCAAACAUUUUCAGGGACAUAACCUCGAACCAUCACCGGAAGAAGCCGCUCCAUCCAUACGUGAUAAUCAUGGCUCUUCAUCCCUAACACUCGCAUAGUAGACAAGUUCACUCCCCUCUUCAGAUUCGCUGCAUAUCCGUCAGGAAACAUUAACGUUUGGAUCCAUUCGAGUACUUCCCUCCUUUCAUCCCUAGCCAACACGUACUCGGCCUUAGGCUUUUUCCAAUUCUUCCCGGAUGUAGGAGGUUGCAUAUGCAGCUUUGGUCUAUCACAUAAAGUUUGCAAGUCCAAUCUUGCCUUGGUGUUGUCCUUAGACUUUUCAGUGUCCAUGAGUGUUCCCCAAAUUGCCUCAGCGAUAUUCUUUUCGGUGUGCAUGACAUCAAUGUUAUGUGGCAAGAGUAGGUCAUCAUAAUAGGGGAGCCUCUCUAAGCCAGACUUAUGAGUCCACAUAUGAUGCUCACCAUAUCCCUCAAAUUUAUUUGUAUUCUCAUUCCACUCUAGAGAGUCAAGCUGUGCACGAACCUCGGCACCGGUCAUUAAGGCUGGCUUGGGAUCUGUCACUACCACACCUUUGAUGAAAUUCUUGAUGUCCUGUCUGAAAGGAUGAUCAGGAUCCAGAAACACUUGAUGUUGGUCGAAGCAUGCAUACUUGCCACCCUUCUGCAACCAAAUGAACCUCAAAACUUCCUUGCAUACUGGGCAUGCAAACUUCCCAUGAACACACCACCCGCAGAAUGACCCAUAUGCCAAGAAGUCAUGGAGGGAGUAGUGGUACCAGACAUGCAUUAUGAAGUUUGACCUUGUCGCUCGGUCGUACGUCAAAACCCCUUCAUUCCAAGCUGUCAUCAAUUCGUCCACUAGAGGUUCCAUGUACACACCCAUUUUAUUACCAGGGUGUCCGGGGAUUAUCGACGACAAAAAUAUGGUAUGACGUUGAAAGAGGACACCGGGUGGGAGAUUGAGGGGGAUAACAGAUAUGGGCCAGCAAGUGUACGGGGCAGCCAUCAUCCCAAACGGAUUGAACCCAUCUGUUGCAAAAGCGACACGUACAUUACGAGCCUCUCUAGCCUUUUCACGGUGAAUGUCAUCAAAGUGGGUCCAUGCUUCACCAUCGGCGGGAUGUACCAUCUUGUCAGGAUUGUACCUAGUGCCUUGUUUGUGCCAUGUCAUCUGUUUCGCACUCUCAGAUGACAUGAAUAGCCUUUGGAGCCUUGGUAUGAACGGAAGAUACCGUAACACUUUCACCGGUAUUGUAAGCUGCCUCUUCUGACCAUCACUGGAGUCUACCUCUAUGUACCUACUUCUCUUACACUUUGGACAAUAAUUUGCCGCCAUGUGAUCUCCCCUAAAUAGGACACAACCAUUCUCACAACAAUGUAUUUGCUCAUAAGGCAUCUUUAAUGCACCAAGCAGUUUCUGUGACUCGUACAUGUUCUUCGGUAGAAUGUGGGACUCCGGAAGCAUGCUGCCAAAUAGAGCCAACAUCCCAUCGUAGGCAUCUCGACUCAGGUUAAACUGGGACUUGAACCCCAUUACACGUCCAACGGCAUCCAGUUGAGAAACCGUGGUCCCAUUAUGAAGGGGUUUUUGUGCCGAAGCAAACAUGUCCUCGAAGGCCUUUGCAAAUGCCUCCAUCUCUUCCGUCGUACGUCCUUCAGCAAACUCUGCUUGGUGAUAGUCAUCUAUCAUGUCUGCUACCCCGCCAUCACCAUCAAAAGCCUCCACCCGUGCUCUCACCACCUCCUCUCUCAUACGAUGACUUUCACCAUGGUAGAUCCACCGGGUAUAGCCCGGCGUGAAUCCAUGCUUAACAAGAUGUCUGCCCAUUUUGUCCUUAGUUAACCUUUUUCUGUUGUCACAGUAGCUACAGGGACACCUGACUAGAAUCUCUCCUCUAGCAGCCGGGCCAAAUGCAUGCUCCAAGAAUUCAUUUGUCUUGAACACCCAUGUCUCAUCAAAAUCUCUCAUACUUCUCUAUUGUGUGUACAUCCACUGACGGUCUUCCAUCCUCUAAUAUACACUAAGACAAGUAACUUAAGCCUCAAAUGCAUCUACAUGGUGUUUCUACUCUCUAAUAGGUAAGGAUAGGUCCUAAACCCACCCGUAUAUGCGCAGAUGGAUUAGUCUCCAUGCUCCGCGCCGAUCCGAGACGAAAUUUUGACAGCACCUCCCCGCUGUUCUUCAGAUACACGUCCCGGAAGGGAGAGUGUGUAUCCGAAGAACAAGUGGGAGGUGGUGCCGAAACUUCAUCACGGAUCAGAGCAGAACAAGGAGACUAACACAUCUACGCAUAUAAGGGCUGUCCAAAAACGUGGACAAUUCGAAACAGAUAAGGUUAUCGAUAUGCAAACAUGUGCAUACCGAUAACCAUAUCUCUUCCGAACGGGUGACGCCUAACGGGGUUUUGUGAGGUGAGACCAGGACGGGCUGUACCUUAGGUGGCGGUGGAGUGUCGAGGUGACGUGGUGCAGGCAGGAACUCCCCGACUCGCCUCCUCGGCGCGUCUCACUACAAAAUGAAAACAUACACUAUUAAUUCAAAAUUUCGGCAGCACCCCCCUAUACGUAGAAGUAUCCAUAACCUGCAAGAAACAACGGCACGAUGGCCGACAUCCACAUUUACCAAGCAUAUAUCACAUCUAUCAAGCAUAUAUCACAUCUAUCAAGCAUAUAUCACCACAUCGAGUUAACCGCCGACAUAUAUCACCAUACGGAUUAUCAAACUAGCAUCCAUGCGGAUUAUACCUUCGUCGAGGGCUUCAGUGGUCUUCUCCUUCUCCCUCUCGUCCUCCUGCCCUACUUGUCCAAUCCUCUUCCUGCUCGGAGCGGACGAGGCCAGCGGACGAGGACACGGCCGGCGGAUCGGGCAGCGGACGAGGCCAGCGGCGCGGGCGCGCACUAGGCGGGCGGCGAGGGCGCGCAGCGGACACGGCCGGCGGUGAGGGCAGCGGACGAGGCCAGCGCGGCAGGGCGUGCGCGGCCGCAGGGAUAAGGGCGAGGUCAGGGAGGGAGGGAGCAGGGCGCGCGCGGCGAGGGGGGUGGGAGGGAGGGAGCAGGGCGCGCGCGGCGAGGGGGGUCGGGGAGGCGGCUGCGAGGGAGGCCGGCGAGCCCGCGGGGCGCGCGCGGCGAGGGGGGGUCGGGGAGGCGGCGACGAGGGAGGACGGGGAGCCCCCGCGGGGCGCGGCGAGCCCGCGGGGCGCGCGCGGCGAGGGGGGCGGGGAGGCGGCGGCGAGGGAGGACGGGGAGGCGGCGGCGCGCGCUGGCGGCGAGGUGAGGGCGAGGGAGGCGGCAGUGGGCUGGACGGGGAGGCCCUGGCGGCGAGGUGAGGUGCGGUGCAGCUGCGGCGGCGGACGCGGCGGCCGGGCGGCGCUGUGGGGGCGGAGCCGGCGAGCUGAGGAGGCGGCGGCGGCGGUGUCUGUGUGUGGCACACACACAGAAACAUUCGGAUAAGGGCGGUCAGGGCCUUCGCCGAGCGCCAGAUCAGGGAGCGCUCGGCGAAGGGUGGUUCAAUUUUUUUUGAAUCUGCAAAGGGUUCGCCGAGCGCAGCAUUUACCUCUCGGCAAACUCGCUUCGCCGAGCGCCAUUAAUAGAGCUGUCGGCAAAGGACCCCUUCGCCGAGCGCUUUAUGCUGCGCUCGGCGAACUAAUUUUUAAUUUUCUUUUAUUUUGGCCUGAGUUUUUUUUGUUAGUUUUCCCACUUAUAUUUGGUUACAAUAAUGAAAGUUGAGCUAUUUUUGGUACAUAUAUCUUUUUUUUUUGCAUUUGUUUCGUUUCGUUGAUUAUUUCCGAUAAAUGCAUGUUUGAACUAUAGGUGCAUGAAAUAAUGAGUUUUUAUGCACAGGAAGUUGACAUUGUUGUUAUUUAGUGUGAAAUAAGACCGUGUGCAAGAAGAGGCCCGAACUCUCGCACCUUGGAUUGACGGAACACGACUUCACAUUCGCCUGUCAAUCUUUUUUAAAUAAUAUAAAUUGAAAAUGAAUUCAAAAAAUCAUGAAACUUGGUGGGGUGUCACGAUAUCACAUGUGGAGCCUAUGAUAAAAAUUUGAGAAGGUUUCGUACACGGCACCUCGCAACAUGUUCACAAACCUAGAGAUCCAACUUAUGAUCACAUGGUUUGUGAACAUGUUGCAUGAUGUCGUGCACCAAAACUUCUCAAAUUUUUACCACGGCCUCCGCAUGUGAUAUCAAGACACCACACCAAGUUUCAUGAGAUUUGGAAUUCAUUUGUAUUUUAUAAAAUUUAAAAACAUUUCACCCACGACUUUGAACUUGUGUUCCGUCAACACCAGGUGCGAGAGAUCGGGCCUGUACAUCCACACGGCCAUAUUUGACACUAAAUAACAACAACGUCAACUUACCGUGCAUAAAAACCUAUUAUUUCAUGCACAUGUAGUUCAUAUAUGCAAUUAUCGGAAAAAUUCAAGGAAACGAAAGAAAUGCAAGAAAUAUAGCUAUAUUUAAUAAAAAUGGCUCUACUUUCAUUAUUGUGACCAAAUAUAAGUGGGAAAAGUAACAAAAAAAUCUCAGGGCAAAAGGAAAAAAAAUUAAAAAUUAGUUCGCCGAGCGCAGCAUAAAGCGCUCGGCGAAGGGGUCCUUUGCUGAGCGGCCCGACAAAGCGCUCGGCGAAAUAUGCAUAUUCGCCGAGCGCCCCCUGUAGCUCUCGGCGAAGAAAACAGCCGAGGGAAGUUUCAGACCACGGCGUCAUCCUUUGCCGACAGCCGGUCUUUACCGAGCGCUCGACCGUCGGCGAAAUCCUUUUUGCCGAGCGUUCCUCUGUGCCGAGCGGUGUGCUCUCGGCGAAGAGUGGCUUCACCGACAGCGUUUCUUUGCCGAGCGGAGCGCUCGGCGAACUAUCUCUUCGCCGACAGCCCGAUAUCCUUCCCUCGGCGAAGAUUCGGCUCUCGGCGAAUUUACUGUUUCCGGUAGUGACUUUGCCGAGUGUCAAAAAAACACUCGGCAAAGAAGGCCGAGUGUUUUUUUACACUCGCCCCGAGUGUUUUUUUGACACUCGGCAAAGACCCUAUUUGCCGAGUGCAAAAAAAGAAACACUCGGCAAAGAAAAUUUCAAAUCAAAAUUUGAAGCCCUAAACAAAUUCAAAUCAAAAAGUUUGGAACUACAAAGUUGUAUAACGUCUCAAGAUCUAUAAUCUUUAUUUUGACCAUUUCUUCAUUUGGCAUAAUGAAAAUAAGUUUGUUCAUAAAUUUUAUAUCUCUCUCUUAUAGUUCCUAGAACUACAAAAGAGAUAUAUAAGAUUUAUAAAAAAUAUUAGAAUUACCGUGUCAGAUGAGCAAAUGAUGAAACAACCAAAAUAAACUUUAUAGAUUUUGACAAGUUAUGAAAUUUUAUAGUUGACAAUUUUUUCAUUUGAGUUUACCUUAUCAUUUAAAACUGAGUCUUUAUUUGAAAAUUUUUAAUUUUGAUUUUCUGAAAUUACCUCGGAUGAAAAAACUGACUAAAUAAACUUUGUAGGUCUCGAAAAGUUAUGAAACUUUGUAGUUGAUAACUUUUUGAUUUGAAAUCUUGUUGUCAUGCAAAAAUUAUGUUUAAAUUUCUCAAAUUUGAAAUUCAAAUUUUGUAAACGACCUCGGAUGGAGAAACUUUCUAAAUGAAAAUUAUAGAUCUCAAAAGGUUAUGAAACUUUCUAGUUGACAACUUUUUGAUUUGAAAUCGUUUAGAGGCUCAAAUAAUCAAUUUACAUGUGAUUUAGUAUGAUAUAUGAAGAACCAAAACGUAAUGUAAUCAUAUUUGAUGGUGUAGUGUAGUGGUGAAGGAGGGAGCUCUGUGACCUCAAGGUUGUGGGUUCAAAUCCUGGUUGUGGCAUAUUUGCUGAUUUUGUAGAAAAAAGCUGAAAAGGAGAUGGAGGAGGGUGCAGCUAGCGGGUGCUCUAAUGGUAGCCCAACCCCCAAAAAAAACAAUUUCUUUUUCUAUUUUUUGGCUUUUUUUUUAUUUUUUUCUUUGCCGAGUGUCGGCACUCGGCAAAGCCUUUGCCGAUUGCCCGAUAAAAAACGCUCGGCAAAGACCCCUUUGCCGGCCAGAAUUGUCGUGUGCUUUUUGCCGAGUGUGGCACUCGGCAAAGGCUUUGCCGAGUGUAUUUGAGCCUUUGCCGAGUGUUUUUGACACUCGGCAAAGCGGUCUGUCUCCCGUAGUAAUUUUACACAAAACUAUUAGUAUUUACUUUAUUAUAUAUUUAUUUUUAUAACUUUUGGUGUACUUCUAGCUAAUGGUAGCCCUACCCAAAAAAAACAAUUUUUUUUCUAUUUUUUGGCUUUUUUUUAUUUUUUUCUUUGCCGAGUGUCGGCACUCGGUAAAGCCUUUGCCGAUUGCCCGAUAAAAAACGCUCGGCAAAGACCCCUUUGCCGGCCAGAAUUUUGUCGUGUGCUUUUUGCCGAGUGUGGCACUCGGCAAAGGCUUUGCCGAGUGUAUUUGAGCCUUUGCCGAGUGUUUUUGACACUCGGCAAAGCGUCUGUCUCCCGUAGUAAUUUCGCACAAAACUAUUAGUAUUUACUUUAUCAUAUAUUUAUUUUAUAACUUUUGGUGUACUUCUAGCUAAUGGUAGCCCUACCACAAAAAAACAAUUUUUUUUUCUAUUUUUUUGGCUUUUUUUUAAUUUUUUCUCUGCCGAGUGUCGGCACUCGGCAAAGCCUUUGCCGAGUGCCCGAUAAAAAACACUCGGCAAAGACCCUUUGCCGGCCAGAAUUUUGCCGUGUGCUCUUUGCCGAGUGUGGCACUCGGCAAAGGCUUUGCCGAGUGUAUUUGGGCCUUUGCCGAGUGUUUUUGACACUCGGCAAAACGUCUGUCUCCCGUAGUGAUUUCACACAAAACUAUUAGUAUUUACUUUAUUAUAUAUUUAUUUUUAUAACUUUUGGUGUACUUAAUUUUAAUCUGUUCCGUUGAUAUUGAGACUAGAUGAGUAAAACACACUUAAAGUAAAUAUCUAUCCGCAUAAAUUACUUAUCCUAACACGUAAAAAAUUUUAUCCACCCAUAACCAUAUUUUUGUAGUCCGACUACUCGUAUCCACCAGUCGAAUAUAAUACCGUAUCCGCGGAUAGAAUCUUCUAAACCCAACCAAGGCCUUGUCUAAUUCUAAAAUAUUAUGUUAAGUUUUUCGCAUUUCCUAUCACAUCAAAUAUUAUAUAUAUAUAUAUAUAUAUAUAUAUAUAUAAAACACUAGAUAUAGAUAAAACAAAUAACUAAUUAUAUAAUUUAUUUAUAAUUUUUAAAUGUCAAAUAUAAAUAAAGUAAGGCCUUGUUUAGAUGAAAUGUUUUUGGAUUUUACUACUGUAGCAUUUUUGUUUGUUUGUGGUAAAUAUUAUUCAAUCAUGGACUAACUAGGAUCAAAAGAUUCGUCUCGUGAUUUACAGACAAACUGUGUAAUUAGUUUUUAUUUUCGUUUAUAUUUAAUGCUUCAUGUAUGUGCUGCAAAAUUCGAUGUGAUGGGGAAUUUUGAAAUUUUUUUGGUUUUUGGUGGAAACUAAACAAGGCCUAAGGCCAGUCUCAAUGGGGGUUUCACGAGGAUGUCAUGCACAUUUAUUAGAGCACCAUGUCAGCAAAACUGCACUUUUUGCAUGAAAUGAAGAGGAGAGAGAAAGAAGUAGUUUCACCAUGGUGAAACUCCGCUGGCAUUGUUUCCCACGCGGUGAAACAGGAUGAAAUUCACACUGAGGACAAAAUUGUUUCACCAUUUUGCAUGUGAUCCAAUCAUUUUGCAGUAAUUAAAUGUUUUGCCCAGCCUAGGAAACAUUAAGGUGAAACUCUUGCAUUGUAGAGGUUUUAUUAUUCGUUUUAUUGAUGCUCUGUCAGCGGAUUUUUUUGAAAACGGUUUCUUGAGAGUGGCCCUAACGCCGAAAGAAACCGGUUUCAGCGUCUCAUCAUCAUCAGUAAUCAUCAGGCGGGCCUCGAGCCCUCGUCGUGUCAGCCUGCCAACAGGUAGAACCGGCGUGCCGCCGAAAAGAUGCACCCGUGACCGUGACCUCCUCGGGAGUCGACACGCCGCACAGCCACAGCAGACGCACUCCCCAACAACCCAGUGCCACUCCAAUAAGGCCUUGUUUAGUUCGCAAAAAUUUUCGUUUUUGGCUACCGUAGCACUUUUGUUUUUAUUUGACAAACAUUGUCCAAACAAAGAGUAUCUAGGCUCAAAAGAUUUAUCUCACAAAUUAUAGGUAAAUUGUACAAUUAGUUUUUAUUUUUAUUUAUAUUUAAUGCUCCAUGCAUGUGACCAAAGAUUCGAUGUGACAGGGAAUCUUGAAAAUUUUUACGAACUAAACAAGGCCUAAAAGUGCCGCCUGCUCUCUACCUCUCUCUCUCCCUCCCCAGCUCUGCUCUGCUCCCGUCACAGCAGUACAGCCACAUCCCAGAGGCGGCGAGUCCUGUCCGGUGGCCAGCGGCGGGAAGGCCAUGGGCGGGGCUACCUCCCCUUCGCCAUGGAGGCGUCACUGCGCCCUCCACUUCCUCCUCCUCUUGUUCUGGUCAGUGCGCACUUCUUGCCAGUUGUUGUGCUUCUACUUUAUGCACUUUGGGUGGAUUUUCUUUUCUGUUUGGUUGCAGCGACGACUCCGGUUAGUUCGCGAACAUGCUGCCGCGACUUUCGCUCCAGCGAUUCAGUUAAUUGAUUCGUUGGAGUUGUGUUAUCUUGAAUCUUUUUUUUUUCUUUUUUUUAACGAACAGGAGGGUUUUUUUUUUGGCUAUUUUGUAUCUUAUUACUAGCAAGACUGUUGUAAGACUGAGUUAUUUUUAGCUAAAUGUUUGAAAUCUCUAGACCAAUGAAUUGUGUCACGAUAUUUUGAGAGACAUUUCCCAGUCACUGAGUAGCCUGAUUUGUAUGAGGAAUCGAGGAUAUGAAUAUGAUGAUCUGUGUUGAGCCUCGUGUGCCUGCUUUACAGUACAUGGUUGCAUCUCAAGCAUUUAUAGAGAAAACUAAUCUUACCCUAUCAUAACAACUUUAGAUUGUUCCUGAUUCUUACCAUAUACUGUACUCUAAUAUCCCCCGUAAUUGUAGAGUGAACAACGCGGACACUCGGACUGGAGUAGAAACCGACAGAAUUUUGCUCAAGUAGAUGAGAACCCUUUUGCUAGCCAAAUUGAUGCGUCAUGGAUAUUGCUGUGUAGUAGUUUUAGACCCGUGCACAAAAUCAGCUUGAUGAAUAUACAUACAUUGGUUCGUGUCCAACACUGUUUUUCUUUCCUAACUUAAUCUCAAUCAAGCAUUUAUGAAUAUGAUGCAAUGCUACUCUCAAAGUAGAAAAAAAACUACAGUUAGGUUCUGUAUAAUGAAGAAAUUUACUUACAGAGCUUCAAGAUUUGAUCUACUGUAACCAAAACAAAAGAAAACUGACUAUUACUUUGAUUUAUUCGUUUGUGUAAAUUUCAGGGGUACUUCCGAGGCAAAUGAAGAACAUGCCGUGUUACCUCCAAGAGGGUGGAACUCGUAUGAUUCUUUUUCAUGGACUGUAGACGAAAAUGCAUACCUGCAAAAUGCACAGAUCAUGGCAGAGAAGUUACUCCCACAUGGAUAUCAGGUUAUUCCCCUAACUCUUUAAUUUGGUGAAUGGUGAUAGAUAAAAACAUAAGAAAUGCGAUCCAGUAAAAUCGUGACGACUCGUUUAACGUUUUGUUCUGUCUCUAUGGAUAGUAUGCAGUUAUUGAUUUCCUCUGGUACCGGAAAUAUGUUGAAGGUGCAUACACAGAUUCAUAUGGGUUUGACAACAUUGAUGAAUGGGGUCGACCUUUUCCGGACCUUCAAAGGUUUCCAUCAUCUAGAGUUGAUAAAGGGUUCAGUCAAAUUGCCAGUAAGGUUCAUGGAAUGGGCUUGAAAUUUGGCAUCCAUUUGAUGAAAGGGAUAAGUGUGCAGGCUGUUAAUGCAAACACACCUAUCUUGGACAUUAAGACGGUACAGUUCUUCCUUUUAAUAUGCUAGUACAUGGCAACUAAAAGUUUUUAAUAUUAGCAUUUUACUUUGGGAAGUCUUGUUACAUUCAUUCUGUCAGGGUUGUCCAACUCUGCUAUUAAUCCUUGUUAACAUCAUGUUGUAUACCCAAAAACCAAUAAUCAUUGUUAAAGUUAACUUGUAUACACAAGAACCAUUCUUAAUCCUUUUUGAAUAUCGAGAUGAAAGAUGAUUUUAAAAUUUAAUUUUACAGGAUUAUCUUAUGUGUUGGAUAAAUUGUGUCUGAAACAUUAUCCUUUCUUGAGGUGUUUUUGAAACAUUGCAAAAUGUUGGAUAAACUGUAUCUUUGCUCAUCAGAAUACUGGUUCCCCUGGGCACCAACAAAUUUCUGAUUUACUUAUCUGUUCCAUUAUUCUUUAAUCUUGUGUGAAAUGUUCUUUCCCAUAGUAUUUUUUUAAUUAUCUAUACCAUAUGAUAUUUCUGUGGUUUCAUAUUAUCUGAUGUUUUGAAUGACUUAGCCACUGUGCUUUCUAGAUUCUUGAGUGUGUGGGUGUGUGUGUUGUAAGGGUUAUUACCCCUUUUUUCUUCUUAAUACAAAUAUGUGCAGCUCUCCUGCAUGUUUGACAAACAAAAACUGUGUUUUUUCUGUGAAAUUUGAACUUCUAUCUACAAUUGAACAAAUGACUCUUGGAAACAGGACAGCACACAUAGCCAUACUGAAAUGCAGAUAGAAGUUGCUGUACUCUAGUUUGAACUCUUAGAAUGGUCUCUUGUGAUUCUUUUCAGGGAAGGCCGUAUCUAGAGGAUGGCCGUCAGUGGACAGCACGUGACAUAGGCCUCAGUCACAGAACUUGUGCAUGGAUGACACAUGGAUUUAUGAGUGUUAAUACGGAUAUUGGAGCUGGACGGGCCUUCUUAAGAUCUCUUUAUCGACAGUAUGCUGAUUGGGGUGUUGAUUUUGGUAUGCUUAUUCUUUAGGUUCAUGGUUCUGUGGAUAGCAUACAUAUAUCUCAACUCUUAGUUGAACCUUUCCAUCUGCUGCCAAAACUAAGGAUUGAAUAAAUUCUUUCAUACUGACCAUUCUGUUUUGUUUGCAGUAAAGGUCGAUUGUAUCUUCGGCACAGAUUAUAGCCCAGAAGAGAUCAUCACUAUUUCAGAGGUAUAACUCCCUAUUUAUAAUUAAUUACACUAGUUCAUUGAAAUCAGAACACUUCUGGAAUCAGCUAAUUCCUAUAUUGCAGCUAUUGCAAGAAAUUGAUCGUCCGAUCAUCCUGUCAAUCUCACCAGGAACUGAAGUUACUCCAGCAUUAGCUGAGAAUAUUAGUGAUCAUGUUAACAUGUAUAGGAUAACUGGAGAUGAUUGGGACAACUGGAAGGAUGUGAGCUCACAUUUUGGUGUGUCGAGGUAAAUCGAACAGAUAUUUUCUUUUUUGUUCUGUUUCAUUGCAUGUAUACUCACUAGUUUUCAUACCUUGUAUACGUAUGUUGUGUAGUAAAGAAAAACUUAUUUAUUAUUUUAUUUCCCUUUGCAUAUUGUAUGCAGUUCCUUCGCUGCUGCUAAGAAGAUUGGGGCCACCGGGUUGCGAGGAAGAUCUUGGCCAGACUUGGACAUGCUUCCAUUUGGAUGGCUUACUGAUCCAAGUAUGAUUUAACUCUAUGUUAAGAAAUAAAACUAAUCUUGAUUGUUAUCUGGCUCUAGUGACUUUUAACAAUGAAGCAAAUUCACAAUAUUCAGGAGAAAAUGAAUCAUAAUUUUCUACUAAAUGCAUGUUAGUAAAUUUUUGUAUCAGUAAACAGAGUAAAUUUCAAAGUCAAAGUAGCAAACAAUAUGAAUGCAUGCUAUCCUUUCCAUCGUUCAAAUAUAUUCUUUGUGGCAACAAAAAUUCCAUUAAGGCACUGUGGACAAUGUCUGUCCCAGCUUGGUACUUUUUAGUAAUUGGGGUUGGUGUAUGAAAUAUCUGAAGUCUGCAUAGGAAAUGUGGAAAAUUUACACUUUUAUGGCAUUAAUUAUUCUCUUUAAUAGAAUGGUAUUAGUUUAUUUUAGCCAAAGAGGGAAACUGGUCUAGCUCAGUUGGUAGCAGGUGUGGGUGUAUUAAUUUAUUCAGCUACAUUUAACUCAUCUUCUUGAAAGUUUUCUUGAAUGGUUUGAGUACAUCAUAUAUCUUAUCUCUGUUUUUCUUUUCAUUCCCUUGUUCUUUUUCCAAGAAUAUCUUGAAUGAGAUAAUAUAUAUGCAGGUGUAUCAGAGACAGACUCUUUUUUCUUCUAUUAAUGCAGGUGUAAAUCAGGGCCCUCACAGGAAAUGUAACCUUACUCUUGAUGAACAAAAAUCACAGGUUGUUGAUGAUCACUUCAAAUUUAAGUGUUCUGUAUCUUUUUUUGUAUAGUAAUGAACUCCUUUUUCUUUGACAUGACCUUACAGAUGGCACUUUGGUCAAUGGCUAAAUCACCUCUCAUGUAUGGAGGAGAUUUGAGGAAUCUUGACGAUAGUACAUUAAACAUAAUUACUAAUCCUGCUUUGUUGAAGAUAAACCACUAUAGUAGAAAUAACAUGGAGGUACCUGCAUUGGAGACUUCCGAUUAGAAUGGUGUCUGCUUUGUAAGCACAAAUGAGUUGUAAACUGACCUGUAGAUAUUUUCAGUUCCAUUAUGUGUACAGUGAAAGGACAUCAAAUGAAGAACAUCCUGGUCACUUUAGGUCUCCUUAUCCUGUUCACCUUACCAAGAAUGAUGGCAUGUUUGUCAGUCUCACUACUUGCAGUGACGAUGCAGCUAAUGGAUGGUAUAUGUUUCCACAAGAUGGGAAACCAGAUCAUAUAUGCAGGAACUAUGAAAUACUGAAUGAUAAAAAUGUCUCAUUUUGCCUGGGAAAAACAAAACGUCUGCUUCCAUCGUAAGAUCCACCCUAUUAAUAAACAGAGAAGUGCUCACUCAAUGAUUUGUAUUAACACAUUUUAUACAUUGUAGGAAGAAGGAACACCUUUCCAAGUUUCAUAUUUCAGUUACAAACACUGAUGAUACUUGUUUGGAUGCAUCUGCUGGUCAAAGGCGGACUGCCUCAGAGAUCAGGUUUCCUAUGUUCUCUGCAUGCAGGUGGCAUGCAAAACAGGUAAGACCUCUACUGUCACCACCACCUUCCCAAUCUUUUCAAAGAGAAUAUUCCAUGAAGUGUUACUUACUGCACACAAAACCAAACACAUUACUAGUUAUGAAUUUCUGGGAGUGAGUACUAUCUAGUUGAACCCAAAAGCUUCCUCAUGCAGUCAUGCCUCAGACAUGGAAUAGGAGGGAGCAACAAUUAUUGUUUAUUUGAGACCUCUGGUUUCGGCCAUUUCAACCCCAAAGCUUAAGCUAUUAGGGAAAGAUGGGCAAUUCACUUUAUUUCAACUAGUAACUAUCCUGUUUGGCAACUGAACUUAUGGCAUUUGUUACACAUGAAUGAUGAAUGCAGAUGUGGGAGUUAAAUGCGAAUGGAAAUCUUGUGAGCAGCUAUUCAGGAUUAUGUGCCAAAGUGGAAUCAAGGGACGAAGGAGGUAUAUAUUACAUAACUUUGUUUGUUUUGAAUUACUUGAUAUCACUACAGUUUCCUAUGAAAUGUAGGUACCAGUGGAGGUCGUGCAUGGGUUGCAACUGGAAGUAAAGGUUAGUUAUCCAAGUAUCCUACAGGCAUCCUGUAAAUUAGUUUACUCUUGUGAGAAAUCUAAAUAUACGUCGAUUAGUAACAUACACAACUCUUUUAAUUGGCUCCUCUGCGAUAUAUGAAAACUUGCAACCACAAUUACAAUAUUUCCAUGUGGUACAUGUGCUUCUUCUGUGUUAACAAAAGGUCUUUUUUUUUGGGGCGAGGAUAACAAAAGGUCUUAUUGGUAGACUAUGAUAUUCUUAGACUGACCACAUGACACACAAAUCAUACCAAGACUGCAGGAUAGAGAUAUUGCAAGAGUGGAUAAUAGAGACCGAGGUUGCCUGGAAACCAUAUUUUAAUUUUUGAACAGAGAAUGCAGGAACUGAUUUUCAUAGUUUGAACUGUAAGGGGAGAAGUCAUAUUAUAGUCUCUAUGUGCCUAGCGCUAGAGGUAGUUCUUCCCCGGAAUAUGACUGAUUUCCAACUCACCAAUCCUGUAAGUCCAAAGUUUCAACCAGACACAUGACCAGUAGACCACCAUAGCUGUUCCUGUACUUCUUUUUACAAAUAUGCCUGAAUAUCAGGGUUAUGAUCAACUAUUAACCCAUUUCUAGGCAGACAAACCCUUGAGGGCCUGGAUGGUAUGGGGACAGAACUUUCUUUGUACAUAUUAGACGAUGUGGAUAAGCUUUUGUGCUUUAUUAUUUUCAUCACAAGGAAUAUACUACUUUACUACCAACACUCUCAUGGUGCAACUGGUCAGUUCAACACGCCAAAGAAGCUUGGCUGAGCCAGCCGGGUUCGAGUCACGGCACCAUCUUCUUGAGAUGAAUAUCAGGGGGACGUCUCUCCCCCUGGUCGAGUCUUUUUAUAUACUACUUUACUGAUAGUUUUCUAACUCCUUUUCAUAUUUCAGAUACGUUGAACUCUUCUUCCUCUGUUUUGUACAUACAUAAACCUAACAGAUCUACGUACCUUUAAAUUUAACAGUAAAUAGAAGUCACGAAAUAUUUGAAUCUCCAAAUUUAGCAGUCUGAUGUGUAUUUUGUAUUCCCUAUCGAGAUGGUUUCAGCUUCAAAUGAUGACCGUCUCAUCUUGACAUCUUGUUUCUAUUUUUGGGUAAUGCGUGAGAAAAUAUAUUUUGUCUGAGCUGUCUUCCAUGGUGCAGGAGAAAUCUAUCUUGCGUUCUUCAACCUCGACUCCGUGAGCAGGAAGAUGACCGUACAAAUAUCAGAUCUUGGAAAGGUUCUCAGAAGAACUUUUUUGAAAAAAGAGCUAUGCAGCUGCACUGAAGUUUGGAGCGGAAAGAAUUUCGGUCCUGUGAAGGAAGAGAUUUCAGCAGUGGUUAAUUCGCAUGGCUCCAUGGUGUUCGAAAUCACAUGUUGAGAUUGCAGUACUGGGCCAGUAGUUCGAGAAGUUCGCAGUGAUAAUUUGCUGUCAGCUCCAUUUCUAUUGAUCCUUUACUUGUAGGCAGAGGUGGAAUGGAUACGUUGAUAAACCAUUAACUAGAUGGCUGCUGGAUUUGACUGAAUGAAUAACAAAAGAAACAUGGGGAGAAAAUGAUGUUUAACUGAUCUUUUUUUUUUUUUUUUGCUUUAUGUCCUAAUGGACUCGGUGACUUCUAUUUAGUGGUACAAAGUUAAGGUAUUCAUAAUACCUGGUGAUCCUAAUUAACAGACAGAUAAACAUAGCACUACUAGGCAGGGAUGGGACGGGACGAGCAGAUUUUACAAGCAGCAGCAUCCCUGAAUGUUGCGAUCCUUUUGUUAUGUACGCCAGAGAGGAAUGGAUAUGGAAACCUGAAGCUCGUAACAGAACAAAUGCAAAGAAUGGCACCAGGCCACGAACACAGAAAAUUAAAAGCACUACACCACCGGCAACUAAUUAAAUUCACCGAGUCAAGGGAAUGCCUGUGCAUUCAGCCAACGAUAUUAACCCACCGCUAAAACAUUCCUAACGACCAUCUUAUAUGGAAGCCUGCUACUUCGACAUGCAAAGAUCAGCUACCACUAGAACAGUAGAACUACAUGGAAACCCUCUUCGUCUUCACUUCUUCACCGACACAAGACUGGGUGUCUAUGGAGCAGCAGGAGAGGAAUGCUGUAACCAAUCUUUUGCGCAGAACAGUGCCUCCAAGGUUUCAGGGUGCAGUGAGCUCUGGUAGUCGUCAAGCAUCUUGGCUUCCGUCCCAGCUGCGAACACGGAGCUGCCACGACCAACGGUGGACACCGGUAUUGCAAGGACAUCUUGGGCCAUCCUCGAGAGUGUUGGGUACCUGACGGCAUUAACCUUCCACCACAUCAGAAUGUCAAACUCCAGCAUGCGUGGGACCAGGGCUUCUUCCAAGUACUGAUCUAGCUCUGACUUUGAGAUCUGGCUCAGGGCUACCUCUGAAAGGUACGUGUCGAAGCCUGACAGUAGAUUGCCAGUGGAAGUAGGAUCUGUUGGAAUGUUGUUCUUAUUGUCAGGCAGAGCGCCAGUGACCUCUUGCUCAACAUGGGCUGGCGUCGACGGAAGUGGCUGUCUAACAUACUCUUUGUAGAGCUCAUGUACAGCAUCAUCCACCAACUUGACAUACUUAGAGCCCUUCAUCAGACCAUAGAUUUUGGAGUAACUGAACUCAACAAUCUUCAUUUUGAAACGGGGAUCCAUCACAACAGCAAUGGCCAGCACAACAUUGCAAUCUCUCCAAUACUUGUCAAAUAUCUCAUGCAUGCCUUUUGUGAUUGUACCGGAAAUAGAAUCUUGAUCAUCUGUGGCAUUUGAAAUCUCUCUCUGAAUUGUCCAAGCCUCAUGGAAAAAUAUGUUUGAAGUUGGAUCUUCUGUUGCCAUAAUGCUGUUUGCAGAGUCGUACAACAGCUUCAGAUACCUGCAAGCAACCUCGACUUUCUCCCAGUCCACUGCCGAAGGUGCUUGAUUGUAGUUAUCGUUACAUUUCUCCAGCAUGGUGAAUGCCUGCUUAUAAUCCAGAGCUGCCAGCAGCAUAAGAUAGGUGGUGUUCCACUGGGCUUUAAAGUCUAGACAUAGGGUCUGGUUACUAGGAAUUUGCAGUUGCAAAAUGAUGUGAGCAAACAUCUCCUCAUGGCUAACACAGGAUUUUAUGAACUUUAUACUUUCACGGAUUUUGUAGAUGGCACUUUGAACUGAAGCAGUGACAUCACUUGCAGCUGCAUUCAGUAUAUGGGCAUAGCACCUCACAACCAAAAAUUGCCCCCCAAGCAUCGGAAUAUUCUUUCUGGAGAGUUCCUCUCUCAAAUUCAAACUGUAGAUAUCAUGUGAGGAGGACUCAUAAUCUCCAGUAACGGUGAAGAGUUUGUCAGUCAUGUUCCACUGAGGAAGGCUUCUGCUGAUAGCUUCAGAAACUGCAUUCUCUGAACAACCAGGCCAAGGGACCAUCACAAAGUUGAGCAUUCUUCGGUGCAGCUUCCACUCAGAAUCAAUGAAUUGCCCUGCAAGGGAAACAUAUCCAAGAGUUUGGCUAGUGGUCCAAGACUGUACUGUGAGAUUUAUCCUUCCAGGAAUAUUUCCGACUUGCUUCAGCACGCUCUCUCUUUCCUUCAGAUAAACUGCAUAAACCUCUGCCUCCAUUGCGUCUGUAUUCACCACCUUGAAACUAGGCUGCAGGCCCUCAACAAAGGAUAUGAAGGUUGGCUGUUGAACAAUUAGCAGAGGGUAGUCAUGCAGAAUGAUCAUCUUCGCCAGGUAUGAUUUACUGCUGUCUGGAUUGAAUCGAGCAUUUGCAUAACCAGUACAAGUGCGGCGCCGCCUCUUAGAAGGCUUCUCUACAGUACCCUGAAAAUAAUUUUCUGUCCCUCCUGCUGCAGGUUCUUGAACUUUAAUCUCAGGGCAAUGACCCUGGGUAAUGUGCCUCUUCAGAUGGCUAGUGCCUGACAUUUUUGAUCCAGAACUGUAUGCAAAUAUGCCGUUACAAUGCUUGCAGCAAGCUCGUGUGCAUCCCUCAGAAUCUUCGGUAGUGAAAUGUUCCCAGACCAUGGACGUCUUUCUUCGGCGUUUUGAUGAGGUUUGUGGUUUCACCCCAGUGGUAACAUUGCCACUAGCUAUCUCACUACCUUGAACCGUCUGAUUACAAUGGAGGACUGUUUGGUCAUAGGGGACCAUCUCACCACCAGGAUCCACCUUGCUACCAACAGGGACAAUCUGGUUGCUGUGAACCAUCUUGUUAUCAUGGAUGUUGUCGACCAUCUUGUAACCAAGGAUCAUUUCGGCAUCAUGACCCAUCUUGUCACUGAUAAUCGCAUCACAGACAUCAACCAUCUCAUUGCCACCAGGGAAAAUCUCGUAGUCUUCGAACACUGUCUCAGUGCCAUGCACCAAGGAAGAGUCAUUGCUGUUUGGAUCACCCAUGCUUUGCUGAGAAUAAUAGCUAAAAUGGUUGGAAGAAAUACGAUCAAGUCAGAUAUAAUGUAGUCAAACUAGAACACAGACAACGGGUUAAAGAAGCUAUAAGUAAAAUGCAAUAUCUAUCUAGUGAAAACGUCACAGAUAUUUGCACAAUAUAAGUUUUUUCGAGAACAUGCGCUGCAUGUAUUUCAUUAAGCGAUUUGCACAAUAUAAGUUGAAUAUACAUUCAGCCAUUACAUAUUUACAUCACGUUUUUGUAUGAGAGAAUCAGUACCACAGCACUCAGUCGUUGUAUGAACUAACAAUGGUUCAAGGAAGUGGAUCCAAAUCACAAAUUCAUUUUUGUAAGCUAGCUACUCCCUCCAUUCCAAAUUAUAAUUCAUUUCAAGAAUCUUGGAAAGUCAAAGCAUCACAAGUUUGACAAUUUAUAUGAUAAAGUAAUAACAUUUAUGAUGCCAACUAAGGCAUUGUUUAGUUCCCAUCAAAAUCUAAAAAGUUUUUAAGAUUCCGUGUCGCAUCGAAUCUUGCGGCACAUGCAUGGAGUACUAAAUGUAGAUACUGUAAAUCGUGAGGCGAAUUUUUUGAGCCAAGUUAGUACAUAAUUGAACAAUAUUUACCAAAUACAAACGAAAGUGCUACAGUAGCGAAAUCCAAAAAGUUUUCACAAUUAAACAAGGCCUAAAUUUUUAUUAGAUUAUUCAUUAAUUAUAUUUUCAUAGUAUAUACCUAUUUGAUGUCACAAAUCUUUUUAGUUUUCUUUAUAAUUUUGAUCACAUCUUAGAUGCUUUGACUCUCCAAGAUUCUUGUAAUGACUUAUAAUUUAGAAUUGAGGGAGUAUUUAAAUAUGACAGAAUUUCUAGUCGGGAAGUAAUGUACUUGCCAACAAAAGAGGACGAUGUAGGAAAAAAAAAAUGGAACUGCGAGCAGAAAGCAUAUCGCCAUCCCCCAUAUACUGUCCAUUGCUUCUAUGCCAAGCACAUAUGCCAUUAUUUAGUUAGUGUCCAUCGCUUCUAUGCCAAGCACAUAUAACAUUGUUUAGUUGUUGAGUAGACACAGAGCAUUGAGAAUAAGAACUCUAACCACGUGCCGUGACAAUAACAACUCACACUUGUUGAACACGCAGAGGAACCAGACUGGCAGUAAGUUCACACGACACAGAUUAAACACAAGUCCAGAAAACACCAUACUAAAAAAAAAGAAAAUCAUUGCAUGCUUUUUUGGUUCGAGAACAAAUCGCAUACUGUUUCAUCUGAUGAUGAUGCUGAUGUUCUCCGACCACAUGGCGUCGUUGAUUAUAGCAGGCGAAAAUCAUAAACUGGAAACCAAUCGAAACGAAAAACCUCAGGGUCCAGCGAGCUACGACGAUCAUCGAACAGCUUCCUACCACUGCAACAAACACACACACACACACUACGGACAGACGAUACAGCGAUUCGGACCAGCAGGUACCAACCAAUGCAAUCAUCAAGCACAGAAAACCCCAUCCAACUCACACACCAUCGACGAUCGAUCUACCCGCCCUCCAUACAGUUUAAGGAAGGCCCAAUCCAAGGCAACGAUCACUGCAAACACCCCCCAGACCCAGCAAUCAAUCCGCGCGGAGGAAGAGGAACACACGAGGUGGGGAGGGAGAGGGCUUGCAGUUGGGUGCGGUGGGUUACCUUGCAGUGGAAGGAGAAGGGGGGGACGAGGUGAGGUCCAGGAAACCAGCCGGCGCGGCGGGGGGGCUACUACUGGAUCGGAUCGCGGCUCGCCUCGGCCCAGCAAGGAACAAACCCUAGAUCGUGUUCGUCGUCCUUUGAGUCCACUCCGUGGGCAGAAGAACGCGGCGGGGACGCGGAGGCUUUUAUGGGCUCGUUUCGUGUCCCAGCCCAUGACGGAGAGAGAGGGCGUGGUUCGCUCCACUUCCCGCUGACAGGUGGGCUUCCGGACCCGUUCUUGGUUUUGGAAACCUUUUUUUUUUCCUUUUGUUUCCGUAUAUAUAUAUAUAUGUAUCCUUUACGGUAGGAGUUUAUGCGCUUUUAUACGGAGCUAAACCGGCCAAGCCCAGACUGUCCAUAACUAACCAUAAAUAAAUGCCCCUCCGUCAUGUCGUAUAAUACCUUAGUUCACUUAAAGAUUCUCAGCCACAUGAAAUCUUACAAAAUAUAUAUAUAUAUAUAUAUAUAUAUGUAUAUAUAUAUAUAUAUAUAUAUAAAUAAAAAUAAAAACUAAUUAUACAGUUUGUCUAUAAAUUACGAGAUGAAUUUUUUGAGCCUAGUUAGUCCAUGAUUGGACAAUAUUUGUCAAAUAAAAAUAAAAAUACUAUAGUAUAUAAAAUAAAAAAAAUUCGGAACUGAACAAGGCCUACGAUACUUUUAAAACUAUAGUUUAUUUAUAUAGCUACUAUACCCAUCUUAAAUCAUAGUUCAAUUUUGAUUUUCAAGGCUAUAGGUUGUACCAUUUAUUUAAAUAUACGCUUUGUCUAGAUAAAUGGUUUGUAGACGAAAUGAUUAUCCAAAAAGGCUUCUACAAUUUAGAACGAUAAAUAUGAGAAAUACAUAUAGGGUUAUUACAAGUAUAUAUGUAUCUCGGAGAUAGUUAUAAGUCUGCUCGAGCGCUACCACUAGCGCAGCGAAGGGGCCGCCGGCUAGGGCUGGGGUUGGCCGUAUCUGCUCGCUACCGCCAGCACCCGAGCAGGGACUGCAUCGCGCAUGGGGCAGCUCCCGUGCUUGCUCGAAAUGGGCGUCUGGCUGGGGCUAGGGCUGCCUGCAUCCGCCGCUCGCCGCCACAGGGGUAGCGCUCGUCCCCAUCGGGGCCAGGGCCGGCCGCGCCCUCGACCGCCGGAGCCAAGGCCGGAGCUGCGUUGCCCCGAGGAUGCAUGGGGGCAUACGAUCGAGUGGAGGUUAGGGGCAAAGCUGCGCAGGGAGCUUGCACCGCCAUAGGGAGGUGCACCAUGCACCGGUUAGGGACUUAGGGUGGGGAUGUCUGCGUGAGGAAAGCCGCUCCGCCGGGGCCGCCAUCGGAGCGUGGCGGGCCACCGCCACGAUCAAGGUUGCAGAGGUGCGUGGUUGUGAGAUGUGGCCAUGAGGCUCCGCCAAUGUCGCGGUCGAGGUAGAGGACGCCGCCCAUGGUAGCUCCUCCACCGCCGCUAGUGUUGGAGCUGGCGAUCCAGAAACGGACCAAGGGGGGGCUAAAGAACAAGACGAACGUUUUGCUCGGUAAACACAGAAAUUGAUAAUUUGAUAUGGAUUCAAAGUAGUUGAAGUCAAAGAUACAUAGAAUUAAGGAUAGAAAAGUACCAAAUACAAGGAGUCUUUCAGCUUAAGAAUUGACACCACUUGAACCAAUACGACUUGAACCGCCACCCUCAAUGCUACAUAAUUUGCAAAUAUCAUACACUUCUUCAAUAAUCAAGAUAACAAGCAAAAAGAAAAGUAUUAAAACAAUACGCACCUUGGGACCUUGCGUGGCAAGUUUAUCUUAUGAUUUCUUAUGCCCUAAAAGCGCUCCAAAAUUUUGUCAUCUUCAAUAGAUACAAAGAAAUCCUGCUCAAUAUUUUUUCAUUCUAUAAAUUCAAACCAAUCAGUAAAUCAGUAAUUGCUUGAAUCUAAAUCUAGUCAGUAUUCAGUAAUGAAAAAAAAACAGAGGGAUCUUCUCACCUUGCUUGCACAAUCCCUACUCUAACCCUAGGGCAGUAGGGCUGGCUGGCUGCCUGCCUGGCUCUAGCGGCUGGCGCUGGCCACUGGCUCGCCGCCUGGCCGCACUGGUGGGCGCCCCGCGCCUGGCCUAGCCGGUGGCCGUUGGCUGGCCGGCUGCUGGCUGUCCUCCCUCGCGGCCUCGCUGUCCCGGCGGGCGGCGGCGGCGCGGUCCGUGGAGGCGUGGAGCAGCGAACCAGCGGUGGCCGGUGGCGUCCGCGCGGAGAGGGGAGGGGCAGAGGAAGAGCCAGGCAGCAAGCCAGCAAUGGCGGCGGCGGCGGCAGUAGAGCGGGGCAGCGGGCGUGCGGGAUGCGAGCGAGGGCGCGGCUGCGGGAUGCGAGCGAGGGCGCGGCCGUGCGUGAUGGGAGCUGGAUGCGAGACGCGUCGAGUUUUUUUUUAGGUUAACAAUUUUUGGGCCGGGCUGCAGAUCCGCUCCAAACAAUUUCGGCCCACGGGGGGGCAGCCCCCCGUCCGUCCGCCACUGGGAACAGCCGUCGAUAUUGGAGUUGAGGGAUGGGAGGGGAAGUCACACCGGCCAUGGAAAGACCUCACAAAGUCGAGAUAGGAAGACGACGUAGAUGGGAAGGAAAAGAAAGAAACGAACCAAUACGCACAAAACCAGUGGCAGGUGGGUAAAUUUUUACCCCAAAUUAAAGCAGCUGAAAGAAGGGGGUUGACAUGCUUUGAGUUUUGUACUAGAGUAAAAAUAGCUUUUGGUCUAAAGCGGCUAUGAUUUUUCACCCUUUCGAUUGGCUUUUGGCUUUUACAAAAGGAAAAAAGAAGAUUAAGAUGCCCAACCAAAGGAGAUUUUAUAAUGUAGAACCAAUGGGCUUAAACUAAGAGCAUCUCUAAGAGUUGUUCUAAAUUCAUUUGUUUCUCCUAUUUUCACAGCAUUUAUAUAUUCUCUCCCAACAGUUUCUUUAUCUCAAAUAACACAUAGGGUGAAAACAUAUUACACCAAAUCUGAAGGAGAUGGAGAAGGACUUGGGAAAUAAAAAAAGGAAAAAUAUACUUGAUAGGAGAACAGGUAAAAAUGACUUUUGAUAGGUUAGGUAGGGAAACUAUUAGAGAUGCUCUACCUUAGGCCGUUCUUCUGCUAUAUAUCCCAUUCACCUAUUCCUUUUUAUAUCAUGACAUAUGGGACCCAUAUUUUAGUGAGCCAAUUUAUUCUUUUUACUUCUUUUCAUAUAUAUCCUUGGUUAGUUGCCAACUGGCCAUGGAGUAGUAGUAUGGGGAUAAGUGGAAAAAUGGCUCCUUUUCUCAUCAGGUUGUCCCUUAGUACCUUUAUCAAUAAUGAAGGGAUCAUGACGUCUUUCUCUAACUAUGCCCCCUAAUUUCCAACCUUAGAGAAACGCAUGUAAUAAGUAAACUAUCUAAAUGUGCAACUAUGAUUCUGCUAGGUGUGUUGAUAUCUCUACCGCAAAAGGAUUAUGCAACCUACAUUCCAAUCCUACCAACUAGCCAACAACUAAGGUAGGAAAGGCAAAUAACACAACCAAGGUAGCAAUGUAAAGCAAAAGCUUAACUGAGAUAGAAAUGCAAACUCCUGUCGAUGACUCUGAUAUUUUUACCGAGAUAUCAAGAAGCGCGCAAGCAGUUUCCCCUAUUCCUUGUUGGACCCUAUAUGACACCCUUUGUUUUUUAUCACGAUAAAAUUCACUAAAAAUUUAAACUUUUGGAAGUUUACAACAAAUUAAAACUUGAUUAGUUUAUUUCCCUUGAAAUCAUUUUAUUGAAAGUGUUUUUCCAAAAAACCUUGCAUUAAAA